GGUGGCUGCGAUGGCAGCAAUAUUGUGCGUGGUCAUGACGGGGACGCUGGUGGCGCAGCCCGUGGUCUACCUCGUGUGCAAAAACCACCGCCAGAACCCAAGAACACUACCGGAGGUUUGACGACUGACAUCGUCGGCGACAAUGAUGGCGUGAAGCAAAGCCUGGCAUGGAGCUGCAUCCUGCAAAGCUUGGUAGUAAUGCUAAUUAAGUUGUGUUUCUACUGGACAAUUAAGUUUUUCUUCGGCAAAACUAGACAAUUCAUUAAGUUGCUGCCGGCAGCUACAGUACUAUUUGGAUUGCUAGUUGUGGAACUAUGCGCUUGGUAUUGGGUAUGCGUUUUUAUGCUUGGAUAUAUUUGGUUUGCUAUUGGAUAUGUGUGUGAGUUAAUCUGUAGUACUGCUGCAAUUCUUGAGAGUAUCAACUGUUACAGGUUAUGUUCACUGGGAGGAGCUGUAUAAGUGUGGCGAGUAUUUAUGCCAUUGUUUUUCUUUUGAGUUUGUACAUUUUCCAGUAAAAAAAAAGGUCAUGCACUGGAAUUUGGCUUGAUCAGACAUAACAUGCCUUCACAUCGUGUCAUUGUGACAGAUGGAUAACGUCGUUUGAUAAAUGAAUGAUCUUGAAUGCCAAAAAUUGAUUAAAUACUAAUCAUAUCGAGAAUUCCAUAUCUGAGUGUAUGCCUCCAAACACGCCCUAUACAUAUUGCAAUUGUGACAAUUUAUUUUUCUGAACAAAUGGAUAAGGCUCCUCGUGAAUUUUUUCCCGGAAAAAAAUGUAUAAUCCUUAUACUCAUAUAAAAGUUUGUUGUGGCAGUGUCUAUAUUGCAACCACAUCAUGGUUAGUAGACCUAUAUGGUGUUAAUUUGGAGCUUCAAAGAGUUACUCCCUCCGUCUCAUAAUGUAAGACGUUUUUUGACACUACACCAUUGUCAAAAAACAUCUUACAUUAUGGGACGAAGGGAGUAUUUAUUUCGAAUGUGUCAAUUUGGGCGACAAAGAAGUACGUUUGGAACUUAUAGUGGAUAAUCUUUCGGUGCCAUGCCACCUUAAUUUCAGCCUCUGGAUUUUACUUGUAACAGUUUUGCAACGAAUUUGGUGUGCAACUUCGAAUGCAUGGAGAGGCUCCGGUAGCCAUCCAUCAUCUAAAAAGAAAUAUCGGAAAAACAACCCCUUCUGCGUAGUGCUGCAUACAUACAUACAUACAUAAGAAAAAACCUCAUGUAUGCUCACGUUUGAACAGUAAAUUCGUAUAAGAAAAAUACAAAAUAAAACUCUUACCUUCUUUGAAUUAGAAAAUAAAAAUGGAAUAACUAUAAAUAUUACACAUGUAAUUUUUUUUAACACAAGACACAAAACUCAUAUGUUUUCACGAAGUUCUCAAACACACAAAAGUACCUAGGCAUAUGUAUGUUUUGUCUUUUUGGAACUGUUUGACAUUUUUUAAAUAUUUUGUCUGCUUCAAAAGGAAAAAAAAAACACAAGAUAGAAUUGCUUUUCUUUUUUGCGGGUAAGAUAGAGUUGCUAACAGAGAAGGAAAAGUACUGCAAGCAAAAUUGGCGGUCGUGUCAAUUUAGAUGGCCGGGCUGCUCGGUGCUCACCCCGGAUGGAUGGGCAAUGGAGGAAAAAUUGGAGGCUAUCUGAAUCUCGGCGGUUGAUGCGUGCAAUGACUCAAGUCAAAAGCAUUAAAAGCAUUCUGGCGAGCGCUUGAAGAUUGGAGGCUGGCGCCAAAUGCCUUGGCUCAUUUUUCUCUCUCCACUUUCCUUACUUUCCUCCUUGUCAGUUGUCACUUUGGUCAUCUCUCUGUACAUAUCCUCCCAGCAUACAAAUAGAAAGAAGGCCAGCAUUUGCUGAGUGGUUCAAAGAAAACUAUGGUGCCACCUUUCACCACAAACCAAGAAUCCAAGAUGGAGAAGAGCGUGAGGUCCGGCCGGUCAUAGCAGCAGCAGCCGGUGGGCCGGCCGUGUCAGUGGCAGCGAAGGCAAGCCCGUGGCGUCGCUCUGGUCAAUCGACUCCGCAGCGUCCAGCUGCUCGUCUCUCUCUCGGUCGACACGUACCUCACGCUAGUGCCUAGUGAUGGCUCGGCUGGUUUCCGUUUCCGGCAAAAGCAUCCACCAGGGACGCGCACCGUCGAGCCCAGCAUCGACGCAAGAAUGGCAAAAGGCCAGGCGAGGUACGACGCGGCCACCCUUACGUCUCCGUCGGCGGUGCAUCCUUUAAUGGCCGCCCACAGCUAGCUACUUCUACUAGGUAGUAGUAGUAGGAGAGUAGCGAGUAGUACGUGCUUGCUUGCUUUGGUGGCCAUGGCCGCAUGCACGCAGCUGAUCGUCUCAACUGAAAGCAAAGUGUGAAACGCGCGGCCAAGGUCUAUUCCUCAAGGUGUAAAUCUCAAAGCACACCUCUAUUCCGGUGCAAGAAACGAACCGAUGCCAUGGUAUACCUGAACUGAAAGCAAAGUGACUAGUGAGUGUGAAAUGCGAGACGAAUGGCGUGCAGCAGAGCGUGAAACUCUCACGACCAUACGUCUACGCCUACGCGUAAAACGAAACUUUAACUGCUACGUACCUAUUACCCAUAUGAUUUUAACGCUCUCCACGUGUCCACUAUACCACAUAGUUUAUCUUUUUUUUUUCAUUUUGUAGGAAGGCCAUGAUGGCUAGCUUUAUAUUAAAUUAAAGCAUGGUUACAUCGUCUAUGAGCUUACCGACAACAAUGUCAGGGGGCUCGUUUAACCAACUAAAAAAAGACUUAUUACUAUAGUUAUGGUUUGCUAGCACAUAAGCCACUCGACUACAAGAGCGAAGACAACGUUUGAAAGUGACCUUCCCGAUCAUAGUACCUACUAUAUCCAAGUUAAUGACUUUGAGUGAAUCUGAUUCCGCCUCGAUCCGGUUAAAACCAAGAGAAUUUGCAAAUGCCAACCCGUCUCUCUAGCCAUCACUUCAGUGGUAAUAGCAUCAGCUGAAUAUGGGAUAAACCUACACGGAGCACGGCCGUUGUCGCACCUAGCCCCUCAUCUGCGGGGAAUGCUGCAUUGACGUUUAGCUUAGUGUAUCUUGGGUUAGGUUUGUUCCAUCUUGUUUCAAGCACUGCUGUAAUAUAUGAGGAAGCCAUCUAAAAGUUCCUUUCUAUAGAUAGGAUCGACAUCGGCCAUCUCCAGGUUGGUGGCACUGAUUCGUUAUGCGUGAUUCUCUAUUGGAUCCACCAUAGGUACCAACUUCCUACAACCAGAGCUUGUUUAAAAUUGAUGUUUGGAUGUACCUUUAGGUGGUUAUAUCCGAUAGUGAAAACAUAUACUUAAAUAUGGCCAGCCUAAUCUGUCUACAUGUAAUGAAUGGUCAACGAACUCCAGCAUACUCAGUCGCUCUCACAGCUCCCUUGCGUGCAUGCAUCGAAACAGAAGAUGUUGUAUGACUUCUGCCCCUUGGUGACAAAUAGGACAAGCGUCAAUGGAGCCAACAUGUCUAUUUGCCGGGAUAGCUGCAAGAGGCACUAUUCCUCGUAGAAUCCUCCAAUAAAAAAUUUGAAUUUUAUGUGGAACCGGAAGUUUCCAUAGAGUAGUCCAUACUGCUAGGGAGUGAACCCUCCCAGUCUCUCCAUCUCAGUUGCGUGUGCCCUGAAAGUGUGUAACCACUCCAAGUGAUACAUUGUUCUAACCGGAAAAACCUCCAGUUCUAUUUGGCCGCCAUGCAACGAAGCCAUCAAAAGCUUGAUAGUGAUUAGGAAUUUGCAAUAUCCUUCGGACAUCUACAUGGUAAAAAAAAGCUUCUAGUAGUGUCUCAUCCCGUGUGCUAGUUGAAGGGUCAAUUAAUACACCCACCUUGGAGAAAAAUGUUUGCCCCUUUUGCGUGAUCACCUUCAAAAUUUGUACUAGCGGGUAUCCACCGGCCAUUCCGGAUAUUGACCUCCUCUCCGGUUCCUAUUCUCCAAAUAUAUCCCUUUUUAAAAGUUUAUAAUCCCUUCAAAAUACUUUGCCAAGUAAGGAUGCCCCAUUCUUCGAUGUGGCAUCAAGUAAGCUCCCGUUGGGAUAAUAUUUAGCUUUUAAUACCCUUGCCAGCAAAGAAUCCGGGUCAGUUAUGAGUCGCCAACUCUGUUUCACGAAUAAAACUAAGUUGAAAGAGUAGAGGUCAUGGAAUCCCAUACCUCCUUCACUCUUCGGAAUACAAAGCAUCCACCAUGCCAUCCACUACAUCUUCCUAUGUUUUUCAUCAUCACUCCACCAUGAGGGAUAACAUCCAUGAUUUCUUUGCAGAUCCCCUUGGGUAUACUAAACACAUAAUUUCUAUACCUAAUAAUUAUUAUUAUUAUAAAAGAUGGUGUGUUUCUCUGGAUUUCUGGUCCGUUCACCCAUAUAACUAUUUUUGAGAUUUUUUUUCCAUGCAAGGUAGUACUAAAUAUUUUACGCCUCCGUCCUUCCACUUCUACCUCAAUCAUAUGUUUGGUUUGUAUGCCACUACACCUUCGAUAGCUGCCUGGGCCUGAGCCCAUCGAACCUAUCAGCUGGCCCGACUCCAUUGGGACCUGGCAACCCGGUAGUGUAGGCAAUAGAAUAAGAAACAUUGUGAGGUAUCAAACUCAAGACCCGACUAAAAGAAUUGAGGUGAUUAUGAGAGCAUGGUUAAUGAUAUAGCCAAGAGCAGGCUAUAUGGGGUUGUCAUGUCAUUAUAGUCAAUCUAAUAUCACACUCAUACAAUAGUUAGUCAUACUAAUAUGCACUACCAUUAGUGCAUGGUACACAUCUUUCUCUCACAAGCGUUGUUGGGGCUUGUGUUACAAGCCGGCUGUAAGCUUGUAACCCGCUUCUCUUCUCUCUCCUCUGCUCUCUCCUCCAACUAGGAACAAAUUUAACGUGGCAGCUCUUAUAGCCCGCAUUCUUUAACAUUACAUAAUUUUAAGUGGGCUCAAUGUCCAGGUGUGAAAACUCUAGGUACGACCUUCUUUGGUUAAACCUAACAACUGUGUCAUUCACGAGAUGUUCCCAUGUUAAAGGCAUUGCAUGGAGUUUACCCAGACUUAUUCCAUGACGAACACCCAUCAUCUUGCCUCAGUGCUUUGGUCUAGUGACAACGUUGCUCAUGCAUCGUUUCCUUUUUUGAGGCGUCGUUGUUGAAGUACCUAUCAUGUAACCUGGGGUUACCAUCCUUCAAGGUUGUUGUUGUUGUUUGCCACAGUCGUUCAGUUGGUUGAUUUUUUUAUAGUUAUUUACUUGUGUGAAUCCUCAAUCUCUUGAGUAAUGCUCGAGUUAUAUUGCUGUAGAGGGUGGGUUUAAUUGAUAUCUUCUCGAUAUUCAUAUAUUCCCUUUACAAAAAGAAUUGGACGCUAACACGUGGUCUCACUCAAACAUAGUAACUUUGAUAACUAAGGAUAUGUACAUGUGUUCUAUUUUACAACAUCUCCAACAGAUGCACAAUAAUAGUUGUCGUCCCCGAAAAAUUAUCAUUUGGGUUCUUUUGAAGAAAAUCAGCUCCAACAGAUGCCUUAUAGGUAUGUGGUGCCUAAAACAUUUUAUAUCAAACACAAGCUUUCACUACAAGUGAGAGCAUUUCCAAAAUAUGACAAGAAGUUUGGUGCCCCAAAAAUAAUUUUAGGUGAGGAAAGAGAAGGUAUUUGGGCACCAUAAUAUAGUUUUUUUCUUCUUUUCUUGAUGCCCUAAAAAUUUGGCAUUCUUCCUCUACCACACAAAUUUGAGCAUAUGAAAUUUUAGAAAAUAAUAUCAAACUCGUUUCAAAUUAAACAAAAAUAGUACUUAAUUAUUACGAGUUCAUCAUUCCGCAACCUCAAAUUCAACACAAUUAUUCAAACAUGACACAAAUUAAGAUCACCACAAAUGACAUGACACAUAGAGUUAGAACUAGUGGCGUUGUUGCCCAUUCCACAUCCAUCACUCCUCGGUGAGAUAUUGUUCAAGAUCUUCAUGAGUAUCCACAUCUCGAAUUUCAUGAUGAACCACAAAGAACGCUUCAAAUUUGUCAUCUCUUCUACGCGGACGGUGGUGGCGUGUGUAAUACGGAGCUACGCAUGUAUGCACAUGUUUGUACCUGGCUCCAUCCACUAAUAAAAACAUACAAAAUGGAUUAGUUAUCUUAACCUAUAACUAUGCAUUUAUAUGUUUAAGUAGUAUACAUACUAGUGGUGAAUCCAGCCUGCCUAAGAACGUUUUAGCCCUAUUGUAGAUUUCAUCACUUUCCAUUACUCUCUCGUUCUUUAAUACUUUUCUUGUGUACUUUGAUUUCAAGUGACAACCCCUUGCAAUAGUUACACUUCCAUGUCAAUUUUGCUUUGAACAACAAUUAAAUCACAUGCACAUUCUGGUACAGCAUUACGAGAGGCAAAGAACAUUUCCUGUGUGCCAUUUAGGAAAAGGCUACAACUAAAUCAUAUGCAAUUGCCAAACAUCAAGUUGUCGUUCUCGAAGUUCUACACUUAAUUCUUCCUGCUCCAUCAGUUGUGUGGUGCGGCCAACAUGCACUAGCCAGCAGCAUGCGAUGAUAGUGGUGGCAGUGAAAAGGGAUCCAACUUAAGUUAAGAUGAUUCAGGAGGGCGAAAUGAUUUUUAUUCUUUCCGUGGCAAUAACCGUGGACCUCCCGGUUCAACAAGUUUUUUCCGCUUCAUUGCAUGAAUGGUCCAUGUUGCUUAACCUCUGCAUACUGGAUCACUGGGAAGUCAGAGCAUGAGGAUUUAUGUAGAGGUGGCUGAGUGAGGUGAUUAGUCAUAUCUGCAUUUAGGAUAGACUGUAGGAGAUCAGCAGCUAAGACAAACAGAGGAGGGUUACGGGGUCCCCCUGUUUGACCCCCUCUUGUAGUGAAAAACCUUUCUAGGUACCCCAUUGAGCAUAAUAGAAGAUGUCCCAGAGUUGAAAAUCUUUUCCAUCCACAUUAGCCAUAUUUCUCCAAAACCUCUUGCUUUCAGAAUCACUAGAAUAGUGGAUCAAAGGCCUUCUCAAAUUCUAGCUAUUGGAUUAGAAUUUGCUUCAUUGACAUGUGGCAUUGAUGCAAAUACUCAAAGACCCGAGCUAGGCAAUCAUGAAUUGUUCUGCUCUUGAUGAAGCCAUAUUGAUUAGGGUGUACUAGCUGCAGGAUAACUUUCUGAAGUCUGUUUGCUAGCAGCUUACUAAUGAUUUCAAUAGAUCAAUUUAAGAGGGAUAUGGUCCCGAAGUCAUUUGCAUUCAGAGGGGUGUCUUCCUUUAGAAUGAGUGUGAUGAAAGAGGCAUUGAUGCUACCCAGAUGGCAUUUUCCCUGGUGGAAGUCUUCAAUGAGCUUGUAAAAAUCCUUUGAAAUAAUGUUCCAGCGAGCUUUGAUGAAAGCUCCAUUAAAGCCAUCGGGUCUAAGAGCCUUGUCAGUGGGGAUCUCCCAGAUCACUGCAUUCCUCUUUAGCGAAGGGGGGCUCUAAACUCUGCAAGUUAUCUCUUUUGUGAAGCACUGAGUGCAGAUUUAGCAGGUUGCUAGUUGCUUUAGUUUAUCCGAAGCUCUCUUUGAAGGCUUCUUUGAUAAAAUUGGCUUUGGCUUGGUUUUUAGUAAACUCAUUUCCAGACUCAUCUUGCAUAAUAGAAAUGUGGUUUUAUCUCUAUUCAAAAGUUGCCUUGGCUUAAAAGAACUUGGAGUUUUCAUCUCUAAAUUUUUAGUAGAACUACUAUUGUAUUUGAACAUUUGAACUACUCUAGACUAUAUAUGUGGCUAUUUGAGCGUGCGUACUUUUCAAGAAAAUUUUUGGGUCAGAGGUAUGCCGAUAGCUUUGGAUGGGCGGAUCUCGUACCCGUGUCCCCGGACUGGCCCCCCUAUCCGCGGACGGAUGCAGUGUUUGUUUUGCAGGUCAGCAUUGGAGAUGCCCGAGAAAAAGUGAAGAGAAAAAAACAAGAUGGAAACAAAUAUAGGCCCUAUGUCGCGACCAUUGCACGAACCAUGCACUCGUGAUGCAGACAGAUAUCAACUCAUAAAUGUUGGACCCUAAUAAGUGCGACACAUGUGGCACAGAGCAAUUCCGCCCUGGCGUUUUUUUAUGACAAGUUUAAGGACGACAAUUUUUAUUGUGAAGCAUGGCAACUUUCUGUUUAGAUGACAANNNNNNNNNNNNNNNNNNNNNNNNNNNNNNNNNNNNNNNNNNNNNNNNNNNNNNNNNNNNNNNNNNNNNNNNNNNNNNNNNNNNNNNNNNNNNNNNNNNNNNNNNNNNNNNNNNNNNNNNNNNNNNNNNNNNNNNNNNNNNNNNNNNNNNNNNNNNNNNNNNNNNNNNNNNNNNNNNNNNNNNNNNNNNNNNNNNNNNNNNNNNNNNNNNNNNNNNNNNNNNNNNNNNNNNNNNNNNNNNNNNNNNNNNNNNNNNNNNNNNNNNNNNNNNNNNNNNNNNNNNNNNNNNNNNNNNNNNNNNNNNNNNNNNNNNNNNNNNNNNNNNNNNNNNUUAUCAUUUGGGUUUUUACAACUAAAAUUGCCAUGAAAAAAACUCCCAAGAAAACUAAAACUUGUCAUUCAAACAUAAAGUUGUCAUACUUCAUAACUUUAACAUUCCGGGUAACUAAAGUUGCCAUAAAAAAAGUCAAGGAGGAACUGCUUCGUGUCACACGUGUGAUCCUUAUCAGGAUCCUUCUUCUUCUCAUGUCCAAGAAAAGGAACAAAAAUCACGGUUUCUGCAAAAUUUGUCAAGCUUAAACAGUUGUACUAGCUGCUACCCAGCACUCCCACUUAGAGUCUCACAAACCCUCACACAUAUAUAAUGCCAAGCAUGCAUAUCCGGUGCAGUGAUAAUCACUCACAAACUUACGACUACAGCAACUUACUACUACAAUCUACUAUACUACUUAAGUCAAAUCUUCUUCACGCUGCUACCACCGUAGAGUCGUGGACAAGAUGCAGCUAGCUAGGCAGAUUUGCUGGAAUCUGCUCCGUCUCGACAGGCUCCAGCAGCUCAACGCCUGUGUGACGGCCGCUCGAACUCAGUCGAGGUGGACCUUGUCGAUGACCUCGUGGUGGUGGUUCUUGCACACCGGCUGCGCCACCAGCGUCAAGAGCACCACCGCGCACAGAGCCACCGCCAUCGCCACCCCGGCGGCCAGCUGGAACCCGAGGCCGAGGCCCAGCGAAUCGUCCACGACCAGAACCGGGAAAGCCACGAGCAGGGCGAAGAUGCAACCGUCGAGCGUGACGAAGACGCCGGCUGCCGCCCAGAACUUGCCGGCGAGGAGCGCGCGACUCUUGCGCAGGGCGCGGAAGAGCACGGCGUCCUCGAGCAGGGACACCACGCAGGCCAGCUGGCACACCACGGCGACGUAGGCCGCGCCGGCGAGGCACGCGGCCCAUCCCAGCAGCUGCAGCGGCAGCAUGAUCUUGUCCGGAGUGCCGAGCAGAUCCUGGGGAUGGAACAAGGGGGCGACGAAGAUGGAGGCGCAGAGCACGAGGAAGAUGGGGACCGCGGCGACGAGCAACGUGCAGACGAGCCGCGUGAGCGGGACCGUGGGGAACCCCCUGAGGGCGCGAUCGGCGGCGCGGAGGUCGCCUCCGGUGGAGUAGAGGGAGGCAACGCAGAAGACGUAGGCGGCGGUGGUGCAGAGGAGCACGAGCAGGAGGACAAGGCCGAUGGAGACGGUCGCGAAGAGGAAGAAGGCGAGCCUGUCCGUGACGAGGCGGAGGAGGCCGGGGCCGUCGUGGUCGUGGAGGUCGGAGAGGACGCGGGAGCAGAGGGCGCGGGAUGGCGGCGGAGCUGGCGAGCAAGAGCGCGGAGAGCAGCGGGGGACCCAGGUUGACGAAGUUGGGGAGCAUGGCGCGGUGAACCACACGGCAGAUCUCCCGGCAGAUACCGGAGAGGCCGAGGCCCCCGAGAGCCUGCUGGUCGGGUGUCCACUCCAUGGAUCGAUCGAGCAGGUAUAGUGGUGGUGGUGGGAAGGAAAGUGAGCUACUGCUACUGAAGGAAAGAGGAUGAGCAGACUGCGAGGAACAGGGGAAAGGGAAUUGAACACCGAACCAAGUGCUCGCCCGUUGGUGCACAAGCAUUCAAGCAAGGCCUCGCCGCGUCGAUCGUGCGUGUUUGCUUAUUCGGACCGGGCUGUGCUUGCUUAGUGAUCGUUCCAAUUAGCAAUGGCGAAAUCGAUUUCCAUUAACGUACGUGCGUGUGCAUCUAUGAUUUUUUUGGGAUUUAAUGAAACAUGCAAUUAGGUGGUUUUUUCACCCACGCGAGCACAAGGGCCGGAGAGAAGCUCAAGCCGCUCCAAGUGGCCUCCUCAUCUAGGUAGUCCAGGACCGGUCCUAUAUUUCGGGGGCCCAGGGCGAAAUUACAACCAGGAGGCCCUACUAUAAAGAUUAAAAUAAUAAUCUUAUUUUUUUAGUUCAUUCCUUUACUUAACUUAUUGUUGUCUAUUGUUCCAAAAUAAAACAAAAAAUGUAAAUGGUGUACUCCUUUACUUAAUUAGACAAAUCGAAUACCUGAUAGAGGGCAAACAUCAAGAUGAAAGGUUUAUAAAGUUUAAAAGCUUCAUUCGCAACAAUAAAAGAUCAUUUACCUACCCGAUGGCUAUGGGAGUCUGAGUGGCUUUAUUAUAUAACCAUGCUUGGAUUGAAGUUAUGCUCGUAAGAAUAGCUGAGACCUUCUUCCAAUUUUUAAGUUAAGUUUGCAGUUAUGAUGAUUUGGAGAGAGAAUGCAAAGACCGACAAUCGAACACAUAGCAGACAAAUUUUUCAAUAGAUAAGGUGAUUGGUGUUGUGUUGACAAAGUACAGAUUGAAGUAAGAAAUAGAGCAACGGGCACACGAAAUCAAAAUUUUGUACUGCAUCAUAUGCAAGACCUUCUAAGAUCUGACUGCUGCUGCACCAUAUGAACGUGACCAACUAGAAAGAGGAGGUUAGGGAUGACCUUAUAAGUGGAGUGGCUUCGUCUUGCACAUGAGAGACAUCUCACGAAUGCGGGAUAACACAAUGGGCCCGAGGACCUGGAGGAAGACCUGCCGGCCGCAUGUCAGAGAGCGAUCUACAUCGGCGGCGCGUCUCACGAUCGGGGCCCUCAGGGGAAUAGUAUCGUCGCGAAGCGGCGAACUCGCGAUGGAAAGAAGGAAAACAUGACUACUCGUGAACUACGUGCGUCUAGGUCGCUGCCUCCUUAUGGUCUGGACCAUGGGCUCCUUGCGAACCCUGGAGGGGCCCCUAGAUUUCGAGGGCCCUGGGCGGCCGCCCCCCUGCCACCCCCUCAGGGCCAGCCCUGAGCUAGUCUAUCGUCUCAGAGCCUCUGUUGCACCGCUGCAUGCACCGGUAUAGAAUGGCAUGGGCUCAUGGCCACAUGGGAGCGCACAGGUGCUCACCGCGUCGUGCCUGCGCCUGCGUCUGCGACGUGCACCAUAAUGCUUUGAUCCGGAAUGGAAAUAUGGCGUGCAGACAGCUCGAUCAUAACAUGCAUCCCGAUUCUUACAUCUACUGAAGCAUGCAUAUUUUCGCACAAAGUUUUCGUGCGGUUUUUAGAAAUGUGGCCUUACGAAUGGAACGAAAAUGUAUCAGCCGAUUGUUAAGCUCGUUAAGGAUAUGAACAUAAAACCUUAUGAAUAUAAUGAAAAUGAUUACUUGAGAAUGUAUAAUGUACAUAUUAAACGUGUACAAUGUUCACAAAAAAUUGUAAGCAUGUACGAGCAUCACUUACAAUUGUCAGUACCAUCAACGGUGUAGCCGCAUCGCCACCGCCAUAACGAUUCAUAGGAGAAAGAAACAACAAAGACAUGAGGGAAAUAGACCACCUAUAACUUCGCUAAGAAUAUAAAUGGAAUGAGAGAAAUCGUUGUGUGUGACGUGCGAGUCUCCCGGGCGGCUGGGCCUUGUAUUGUGCGUCCGGGACACCGAGUGCUUGCUUGAUCUUUUGUACCGAGCCUAACGAGUUACACGAGUAUUCGCGAGAUCGGCUCGUUUAACUUGGUCUAUAAACAAUCUUAAACUAGAGUUUGGCUCGACUCGUUAUUCUUCGAGUUCCAGUCGAUUCGAGCCGAGUCACGAACUACUCUUUAGCUUGCGAGCUUCGAGUGUUUUUUCCAGCCCUAAACAUACACAACGAAUCAAACACACAUGAUGUGCCAUAUAAUCGGAAAUUUGCUACUGUCCUACAAACCUCUGUACUUUGAGGCCCAACAACGUCUACAAGAAAAAGGUUCUGUAGUAGACAUCAAGCUCUUUUCUGGCACCGUUGUCGGAAAGGUGAGUGCUUGAAGGUAUAUCUUUAGAUCUUGCAAUCUAAUCUUUUUGUUUCUUGUUUUAUCACUAGUUUAGUCUAUAAAAGAAAAUUACAAAAAAAUGGAAUUGAAUUUGCCUCAUGCGCUUAAUCUUUUUAAUAUCUUUUGUGAGAAUGAUGGUAAGAAAAAUUGUGCUCAAGUGCUAGAAGAAGAAGUCUAUAAAAUGUUUGGCACUAAAUAUUUGAAUGAUGAGUAUGAUUGCAAUGUUGUUAGUAUGAAUUCUUUGAAUACCCAUGAUGCUAAUGAUAUGCAAAGCCACAAGCUUGGGAUGCUAUGUUUGAUGAAUAUAAUAUUUUUUGUCCCCCAAAUUUUGAUGAGCACAUUUAUUAUGAUGAAAGCAUGCCUGCUAUUUAUGAUGAUUAUUAUGAUGAUACAGAUGCCAUAAAGAAUAAACAUAAUCAUGAGACUUGUCAUCAUGAUUUUAAUUUUCCAUUGGAUUAUGCUUCACAUGAUAGUUAUUUUGUUGAGUUUGCUCCCACUACUAUUCAUGAGAAGAAAUUUUCUUAUGUGGAGAGUAAUAAAAAUUCUAUGCUUGUAGACCAUGAAAAGAAUGCUUUAUGUGAUGGUUAUAUUGUUGAAUUCAUUCAUGAUGCUACUAAAAAUUAUUAUGAGGGAGGAACAUAUGUUUGUAGAGAUUGCAAUAAUAUCAAGUUUCCUCUCUACGUGCUUAAAAUCCUGAAGUUAUGCUUGUUUUGCCUUCCUAUGUUAGUUGAUUAUUGUUCCCAUAAGUUGUUUGCUCACAAAAUCGCUAUGCAUAGGAAGUGGGUUAGUCUUAAAUGUGCUAGUCAUAUGCUUCAUGAUGCUCUCGUUAUAUUUCAAUUCUUAUCUUUUAUGUGAGCAUCAUUGUCAUUAUCAUGCCUAGCUAGAAAGGCAUUAAAGAAAAACGCUUGUUGGGAGACAACCCAAUAUUUAUCCUUACUGUUUUUAUGUGUCCACAUGAUUAUGCUAUUGUAGCAAUCAUGUUAUAUAGCUUUUGUUUCAAUAAAGUGCCAAGUAAGACCUUUGGGAUAGCUUACGGUGAUAGUUGUGUUGAUCCUGCUGAAAAUCAGAAACUUUUGUGCCCAGUAAAUUAGUUUUGAUAAUUCACAGAAACGUGAUAUUGAUCUAAUUCUUUUUGCUCUGGCUUGGUAAUAAAUCUCCCAGGUUUCCCUAAUUUGGUACGAUUUUUGGAGUUAUAGAAGUAUUCGAGAGUUAUAGAUUACUACAGAUUGUUCUGUUUUUGACAGAUUCUGUUUUAUAUGUGUUGUUUGCUUAUUUUGAUGAAUCUAUGAGUAGUAUCGGAGGGUAUGAACCAUAGAAAAAUUGGAAUACAGUAGAUAUUACACCAAUAUGAAUUUAGAAUGAGUUCACAACAGUACCUAAUGUUGGGGAACGUUCCAGAAAAUAAAAAAUUUCCUACGGUUUCACCAAGAUCAAUCUAUGAGUUCAACUAGAAACGAGUGAGAGGAGUGCAUCUACAUACCCUUGUAGAUCGAGCGGAAGCGUUCAAGAGAACGGGGUUGCGGGAGUCGUACUCGUCGUGAUCCAAAUCACCGAUGAUCCUAGUGCUGAACGGACAACACCUCCACGUUCAACACACGUACGGUUGGGGAAGACGUCUCCUCCUUCUUGAUCCAGCAAGGGGGAAGGAGAGGUUGAUGGAGAUCCAGCAGCACGACAGCGUGGUGCUGGAUGCAGCAGCAAUCUCGGUAGGGCUUCAUCAAAUGUCUGCGAGAGGGAGAGGUGUAGUAGAGGGAGAGGGAGGCGCCAAGAGCAUGGGUCUGGCCGCCCUCCCCCCUCUUUAUAUAGGGCCCCUAGGGGGGCGCCGGCCCUAGGAGAUGGGAUUUCUAAGGAGGGGCGGCGGCCAAGGGGGUGGCUUGUUGGAAAUAUGCCCUAGAGGCAAUAAUAAAUUAGUUAUUAUUAUUAUAUUUCCUUGUUCAUGAUAAUCGUUUAUUAUCCAUGCUAUAAUUGUAUUGAUAGGAAACUCAGAUACAUGUGUGGGUACAUAGACAACACCAUGUCCCUAGUAAGCCUCUAGUUGACUAGCUUGUUGAUCAAUAGAUGGUUACGAUUUCCUAACCAUGGACAUUGGAUGUCGUUGAUAACGGGAUCACAUCAUUAGGAGAAUGAUGUGACGGACAAGACCCAAUCCUAAGCCUAGCACAAAGAUCGUGUAGUUCGUAUGCUAAAGUUUUUCUAAUGUCAAGUAUCAUUUCCUUAGACCAUGAGAUUGUGCAACUCCCGGAUGUUGGAAAUAUGCCCUAGAGGCAAUAAUAAAAGCAUUAUUAUUAUAUUUCCUUGUUCAUGAUAAUUGUCUUUAUUCAUGCUAUAAUUGUGUUAUCCGGAAAUCGUAAUGCAUGUGUGAAUAACAGACACCAACAUGUCCCUAGUGAGCCUCUAGUUGACUAGCUCGUUGAUCAACAGAUAGUCAUGGUUUCCUGACUAUGGACACUGGAUGUCAUUGAUAACGAGAUCACAUCAUUGGGAGAAUGAUGUGAUGGACGAGACCCAAUCCUAAACAUAGCACAAGAUCGUAUAGUUCAUUUGCUAGAGUUUUGCAAUGUCAAAGUAUCUUUUCCUUAGACCAUGAGAUCGUGUAACUCCCGGAUACCGUAGGAGUGCUUUGGGUAUGCCAAACGUCACAACGUAACUGGGUGACUAUAAAGGUAGACUACGGGUAUCUCCGAAAGUGUCUGUUGGGUGACAUGGAUCAAGACUGAGAUUUGUCACUCCGUAUGACGGAGAGGUAUCACUGGGCCCACUCGGUAAUGCAUCAUCAUAAUGAGCUCAGAGUGACCAAGUGUCUGGUCACGGGAUCAUGCAUUACGGUACGAGUAAAGUGACUUGCCGGUAACGAGAUUGAACGAGGUAUUGGGAUACCAACGAUCGAAUCUCGGGCAAGUAACAUAUCGAUAGACAAAGGGAAUAGCGUACGGGGUUGAUUGAAUCCUCGACAUCGUGGUUCAUCCGAUGAGAUCAUCGUGGAGCAUGUGGGAGCCAACAUGGGUGUCCAGAUCCCGCUGUUGGUUAUUGACCGGAGAGUCGUCUCGGUCAUGUCUGCUUGUCUCCCGAACCCGUAGGGUCUACACACUUAAGGUUCGGUUACGCUAGGGUUGUAGGGAUAUGUAUAUGCAGUAACCCGAAUGUUGUUCAGAGUCCCGGAUGAGAUCCAGGACGUCACGAGGAGUUCCGGAAUGGUCCAGAGGUAAAGAUUUAUAUAUGGGAAGUCUUGUUUCGGGCAUCGGGACAAGUUUCGGGGUUAUCGGUAUUGUACCGGGACCACCGGAAGGGUCCCGGGGGUCCACCGGGUGGGUCCACCUGUCCCGGGGGGGCACAUGGGCUAUAAGGGGGUGCGCCUUGGCCUAAUGGGCCAAGGGCACCAGCCCCACAUAGGCCCAUGCGCCUAGGGUUUAAGGGGGCAAGAGUCCUAGGAGGGUAAGGCACCUCCUAGGUGCCUUGGGGGGGAGGGAAACCUCCCCUUGGCCGCCGGCCAUAGGAGAUUGGAUCUCCUAGGCUGCGCACCACCCCCCCUUGGCACCCCUAUAUAUAGUGGGGGAGAGGAGGGACUUCAUACCUGAACGCCUCGGCCUUUGGUUGCCUCCUUCUCCCUCCCCAACACCUCCUCAACCUCCAUAGUGCUUAGCGAAGCUCUGCCGGAGUACUGCAGCUCCAUCAACACCACACCGUCGUGCGGCUGCUGGUGCCAUCUCCCUCAACCUCUCCUCCCUCCCUUGCUGGAUCAAGAAGGAGGAGACGUGGCUGUUCCGUACGUGUGUUGACCGCGGAGGUGCCGUCCGUUCGGCGCUGGUCAUCGGUGAUUUGGAUCACGUCGAGUACGACUACAUCAUCACCGUUCUUUUGAACGCUUCCGCUCGCAAUCUACAAAGGUAUGUAGAUGCAUCUAAUCACUCGUUGCUAGAUGAACUCCUAGAUGAUCUUGGUGAAAUGAGUGGGAAAUUUUUUGUUUUCUGCAACGUUCCCCAAAAGUGGCAUCAUGAGCUAGGUCUAUGCGUAGUUCUUCUUGCGCGAGUAGAACACAAUUUGUUGUGGGCGUAGAUUUGUCAACUUUCUUGCCGUUACUAGUCCUUUCUUGCUUCAGCGGUAUUGUAGGAUGAAGCGGCCCGGACCAACCUUACACGUACGCUUACGUGAGACCGGUUCCACCGACUAACAUGCACUAGUUGCAUAAGGUGGUUGGCGGGUGUCUAUCUCUCCUACUUUAGUUGGAGCGGAAUCGAUGAACAGGGUCCUUAUGAAGGGUAAAUAGAAGUUGACAAAUCACGUUGUGGCUUUAACGUAGGUAAGAAAACGUUCUUGCUAGAACCCUAAUUCAGCCACGUAAAACUUGCAACAACAAUUAGAGGACGUCUAACUUGUUUUUGCAGCAAGUGGUUUGUGAUAUGAUAUGGCCAAAGUUGUGAUGAAUGAUGAAUGAUCUAUAUGUGAUGUAUGAGAUGUUCAUGCUAUUGUAAUAGGAUUCACGACUUGCAUGUCGAUGAGUAUGACAACCGGCAGGAGCCAUAGGAGUUGUCUUUAUUCUUUUAUAUGACCUGCGUGUCAUCAAGAAACGCCAUGUAAAUUACUUUACUUUAUUGCUAAACGCGUUAGCCAUAGUAGUAGAAGUAAUAGUUGGCGAGCAACUUCAUGGAGACACGAUGAUGGAGAUCAUGGUGUCAAGCCGGUGACAAGAUGAUCAUGGAGCCCCAAGAUGGAGAUCAAAGGAGCUUUGUGAUAUUGGCCAUAUCAUGUCACGUUUAUUAUUUGAUUGCAUGUGAUGUUUAUCAUGUUUUGCAUCUUGUUUACUUAGAACGACGGUAGUAAAUAAGAUGAUCCCUCACAAUAAUUUCAAGAAGUGUUCCCCCUAACUGUGCACCGUUGCGACAGUUCGCUGUUUCAAAACACCACGUGAUGAUCGGGUGUUUUAUUCAGACGUUCACAUACAACGGGUGUAAGACAGAUUUACACAUGCAAACACUUAGGUUGACUUGACGAGCCUAGCAUGUACAGACAUGGCCUCGGAACACAGAAGACCGAAAGGUCGAGCAUGAGUCGUAUAGAAGAUACGAUCAACAUGAAGAUGUUCACCGAUGUUGACUAGUCCGUCUCACGUGAUGAUCGGACACGGUCUAGUUUAACUCGGAUCAUGUAAUACUUAGAUGACCAGAGGGAUGUCUAAUCUAAGUGGGAGUUCACUAAUAAUUUGAUUAGUUGAACUUAAUUAUCAUGAACUUAGUCUAAAAUCUUUGCAAUAUGUCUUGUAGAUCAAAUGGCCAACGUAGUCCUCAACUUCAACGCGUUCCUAGAGAAAACUAAGCUGAAAGACGAUGGCAGCAACUAUACGGACUGGGUCCGGAACCUGAGGAUCAUCCUCAUAGCUGCCAAGAAAGAUUAUGUCCUACAAGCACCGCUUGGUGACGCAUCCGUUCUCCCUGCAGAACAAGAUGUUAUGAACGCUUGGCAGGCACGUUUCGAUGACUACUCCCUCGUUCAGUGCGGCAUGCUUUACAGCCUAGAGCCGGGGCUCCAAAAGCGUUUUGAGAGACAUGGAGCAUAUGAGAUGUUCGAAGAGCUGAAAAUGGUUUUCCAAGCUCAUGCCCGGGUCGAGAGAUAUGAAGUCUCCGACAAAUUCUUUAGCUGUAAGAUGGAGGAAAACAGUUCUGUCAGUGAGCACAUACUCACUAUGUCUGGGUUGCAUAACCGCUUGACUCAGCUGGGAGUUAAUCUCCCGGAUGAUGCGGUCAUUGACAGAAUCCUCCAGUCGCUUCCACCAAGCUACAAGAGCUUUGUGAUGAACUUCAAUAUGCAGGGGAUGGAAAAGACCAUUCCUGAAGUAUUUGCUAUGCUGAAAUCAGCAGAGGUAGAAGUCAGAAAGGAACAUCAAGUGUUGAUGGUCAAUAAAACCACUAAGUUCAAGAAAGUCAAGGGUAAAAAGAACUUCAAGAAGGACGGCAAGGAGGUUGCCGCGCCCGGCAAGCAAGCUGCUGGGAAGAAGCCAAAGAAUGGACCCAAGCCCGAGACUGAGUGCUUUUAUUGCAAGGGAAGCGGUCACUGGAAGCGGAACUGCCCUAAGUACUUAGCAGAUAAGAAGGCCGGCAAAACAAAAGGUAUAUGUGAUAUACAUGUAAUUGAUGUGUACCUUACUAGUGCCCAUAGUAGCUCCUGGGUAUUUGAUACCGGUGCAGUUGCUCACAUUUGUAACUCAAAGCAGGGGCUGCGGAAUAAGCGGAAACUGGCAAAGGACGAGGUGACGAUGCGCGUCGGGAAUGGUUCCAAGGUCAAUGUGAUCGCCGUCGGCACGCUACCUCUGCAUCUCCCUUCGGGAUUAGUUUUAAACCUUAAUAAUUGUUAUUUAGUGCCAGCUUUGAGCAUGAACAUUGUAUCGGGAUCUUGUUUAAUUCGAGAUGGCUACUCUUUUAAAUCUGAGAAUAAUGGUUGUUCCAUUUUUAUGAGAGAUAUGUUUUAUGGUCAUGCUCCUAUGGUGAAUGGUUUAUUCCUUAUGAAUCUCGAACGUGAUGCUACACAUAUUCAUAAUGUGAGUACCAAAAGAAGUAAGGUUGAUAAUGAUAGUCCCACAUACUUGUGGCACUGCCGCCUUGGUCACAUAGGUGUUAAACGCAUGAAGAAGCUCCAUGCUGAUGGACUUUUAGAGUCUCUUGAUUAUGAAUCAUUUGACACGUGCAAACCAUGCCUUAUGGGUAAAAUGACCAAGACUCCGUUCUCAGGAACAAUGGAGCGAGCAACCGACUUAUUGGAAAUCAUACAUACUGAUGUGUGCGGUCCGAUGAGUGUUGAGGCUCGCGGUGGCUAUCGUUAUGUUCUCACCCUCACUGAUAAUUUAAGUAGGUAUGGGUAUAUCUACUUAAUGAAACACAAGUCUGAAACCUUUGAAAAGUUCAAGGAAUUUCAGAGUGAGGUUGAAAAUCAACGUGACAGGAAAAUCAAGUUUCUACGAUCAGAUCGUGGAGGAGAAUACUUGAGUCACGAGUUUGGGGCACACUUAAGAAAAUGUGGAAUAGUUUCACAACUCACGCCGCCUGGAACACCUCAGCGUAAUGGUGUGUCCGAACGUCGUAAUCGCACUCUGUUAGAUAUGGUGCGAUCUAUGAUGUCUCUUACCGAUUUACCGCUUUCUUUUUGGGGCUAUGCUUUAGAGACUGCCGCAUUCACUUUAAAUAGGGCUCCGUCGAAAUCCGUUGAGACGACACCGUAUGAAUUAUGGUUUGGGAAGAAACCUAAGCUGUCGUUUCUAAAAGUUUGGGGAUGCGAUGUUUAUGUCAAGAAACUUCAACCUGAAAAGCUCGAACCCAAAUCGGAAAAAUGCGUCUUCAUAGGGUACCCAAAAGAAACUAUUGGGUACACCUUCUACCUCAGAUCCGAAGGCAAGAUCUUUGUUGCCAAGAAUGGGUCCUUUCUGGAGAAAGAGUUUCUCUCGAAAGAAGUAAGUGGGAGGAAAGUGGAGCUUGAUGAAGUAUUGCCUCUUGAACCGGAAAAUGGCGCAACUCAAGAAAAUGUUCCUGAGGUGCCUGCACCGACUAGAGAGGAAGUUAAUGAAAAUGAUCAAGAUACUUCUGAUCAAGCCCCUACUGAAAUCCGAAGGUCCACAAGGACACGUUCCGCACCAGAGUGGUACGGCAACCCUGUCUUGGAAAUCAUGUUGUUAGACAACGGUGAACCUUCGAACUAUGAAGAAGCGAUGGCGGGACCGGAUUCCGACAAAUGGCUGGAAGCCAUGAAAUCCGAGAUAGGAUCCAUGUAUGAAAACGAAGUAUGGACUUUGACUGACUUGCCCGUUGAGCGGCGAGCCAUAGAAAAUAAAUGGAUCUUUAAGAGGAAGACAGACGCGGAUGGUAAUGUGACCAUCUAUAAAGCUCGGCUUGUCGCUAAGGGUUAUCGACAAGUUCAAGGGGUUGACUACGAUGAGACUUUCUCACCGGUAGCGAAGCUGAAGUCCGUCCGAAUCAUGUUAGCAAUUGCCGCAUUCUAUGAUUACGAAAUAUGGCAAAUGGACGUCAAAACGGCAUUCCUUAAUGGUUUCCUUAAGGAAGAAUUGUAUAUGAUGCAGCCGGAAGGUUUUGUCGAUCCUAAGAAUGCUGACAAAGUGUGCAAGCUCCAACGCUCGAUUUAUGGGCUGGUGCAAGCAUCUCGGAGUUGGAACAUUCGCUUUGAUGAGAUGAUCAAAGCAUUUGGGUUUACACAGACUUAUGGAGAAGCCUGCGUUUACAAGAAAGUGAGUGGGAGCUCUGUAGCAUAUCUCAUAUUAUAUGUAGAUGACAUACUUUUGAUGGGAAAUGAUAUAGAACUCUUGGACAGCAUCAAGGCCUACUUGAAUAAAAGUUUUUCAAUGAAGGACCUUGGAGAAGCUGCUUAUAUAUUAGGCAUCAAAAUCUAUAGAGAUAGAUCAAGACGCCUCAUAGGUCUUUCACAAAGCACAUACCUUGAUAAGAUAUUGAAGAAGUUCAAUAUGGAUCAAUCCAAGAAGGGGUUCUUGCCUGUGUUGCAAGGUAUGAAAUUGAGCUCAGCUCAAUGUCCGACCACGGCAGAAGAUAUAGAAGAGAUGAGCGUCAUCCCCUAUGCCUCAGCCAUAGGUUCUAUUAUGUAUGCCAUGCUGUGUACCAGACCUGAUGUAAACCUUGCCGUAAGUUUGGUAGGAAGGUACCAAAGUAAUCCCGGCAAGGAACACUGGACAGCGGUCAAGAAUAUCCUGAAGUACCUAAAAAGGACUAAGGAAAUGUUUCUCGUUUAUGGAGGUGACGAAGAGCUCGUCGUAAAGGGUUACGUCGACGCUAGCUUCGACACAGAUCUGGAUGACUCUAAGUCACAAACCGGAUACGUGUAUAUUUUGAAUGGUGGGGCAGUGAGCUGGUGCAGUUGCAAGCAAAGCGUUGUGGCGGGAUCUACAUGUGAAGUGGAGUACAUGGCAGCCUCGGAGGCAGCACAUGAAGCAAUAUGGGUGAAGGAGUUCAUCACCGACCUAGGAGUCAUACCCAAUGCGUCGGGGCCGAUCAAGCUCUUCUGUGACAACUCUGGAGCUAUUGCACUUGCCAAGGAGCCCAGGUUUCACAAGAAGACAAGGCACAUCAAGCGUCGCUUCAACUCCAUUCGUGAAAAUGUUCAAGAUGGAGACAUAGAGAUUUGUAAAGUACAUACGGACUUGAAUGUAGCAGAUCCGUUGACUAAACCUCUCCCUAGAGCAAAACAUGAUCAACACCAGAAUUCCAUGGGUGUUUGAUUCAUCACAAUGUAACUAGAUUAUUGACUCUAGUGCAAGUGGGAGACUGUUGGAAAUAUGCCCUAGAGGCAAUAAUAAAAGCAUUAUUAUUAUAUUUCCUUGUUCAUGAUAAUUGUCUUUAUUCAUGCUAUAAUUGUGUUAUCCGGAAAUCGUAAUGCAUGUGUGAAUAACAGACACCAACAUGUCCCUAGUGAGCCUCUAGUUGACUAGCUCGUUGAUCAACAGAUAGUCAUGGUUUCCUGACUAUGGACACUGGAUGUCAUUGAUAACGAGAUCACAUCAUUGGGAGAAUGAUGUGAUGGACGAGACCCAAUCCUAAACAUAGCACAAGAUCGUAUAGUUCGUUUGCUAGAGUUUUGCAAUGUCAAAGUAUCUUUUCCUUAGACCAUGAGAUCGUGUAACUCCCGGAUACCGUAGGAGUGCUUUGGGUAUGCCAAACGUCACAACAUAACUGGGUGACUAUAAAGGUAGACUACGGGUAUCUCCGAAAGUGUCUGUUGGGUGACAUGGAUCAAGACUGGGAUUUGUCACUCCGUAUGACGGAGAGGUAUCACUGGGCCCACUCGGUAAUGCAUCAUCAUAAUGAGCUCAGAGUGACCAAGUGUCUGGUCACGGGAUCAUGCAUUACGGUACGAGUAAAGUGACUUGCCGGUAACGAGAUUGAACGAGGUAUUGGGAUACCGACGAUCGAAUCUCGGGCAAGUAACAUAUCGAUAGACAAAGGGAAUAGCGUACGGGGUUGAUUGAAUCCUCGACAUCGUGGUUCAUCAGAUGAGAUCAUCGUGGAGCAUGUGGGAGCCAACAUGGGUAUCCAGAUCCCGCUGUUGGUUAUUGACCGGAGAGUCGUCUCGGUCAUGUCUGCUUGUCUCCCGAACCCGUAGGGUCUACACACUUAAGGUUCGGUUACGCUAGGGUUGUAGGGAUAUGUAUAUGCAGUAACCCGAAUGUUGUUCGGAGUCCCGGAUGAGAUCCCGGACGUCACGAGGAGUUCCGGAAUGGUCCGGAGGUAAAGAUUUAUAUAUGGGAAGUCUUGUUUCGGGCAUCGGGACAAGUUUCGGGGUUAUCGGUAUUGUACCGGGACCACCGUAAGGGUCCCGGGGGUCCACCGGGUGGGUCCACCUGUCCCGGGGGGCCACAUGGGCUAUAAGGGGGUGCGCCUUGGCCUAAUGGGCCAAGGGCACCAGCCCCACAUAGGCCCAUGCGCCUAGGGUUUAAGGGGGCAAGAGUCCUAGGAGGGUAAGGCACCUCCUAGGUGCCUUGGGGGGGAGGGAAACCUCCCCUUGGCCGCCGGCCAUAUGAGAUUGGAUCUCCUAGGCUGCGCACCACCCCCCCUUGGCACCCCUAUAUAUAGUGGGGGAGAGGAGGGACUUCAUACCUGAACGCCUCGGCCUUUGGUUGCCUCCUUCUCCCUCCCCAACACCUCCUCAACCUCCAUAGUGCUUAGCGAAGCUCUGCCGGAGUACUGCAGCUCCAUCAACACCACACCGUCGUGCUACUGCUGGUGCCAUCUCCCUCAACCUCUCCUCCCUCCCUUGCUGGAUCAAGAAGGAGGAGACGUGGCUGUUCCGUACGUGUGUUGAACGCGGAGGUGCCGUCCAUUCGGCGCUGGUCAUCGGUGAUUUGGAUCACGUCGAGUACGACUACAUCAUCACCGUUCUUUUGAACGCUUCCGCUCGCGAUCUACAAAGGUAUGUAGAUGCAUCUAAUCACUCGUUGCUAGAUGAACUCCUAGAUGAUCUUGGUGAAACGAGUAGGAAAAUUUUUGUUUUCUGCAACGUUCCCCAACACCGGAUACCGUAGGAAUGCUUUGGGUGUACCAAACAUCACAAUGUAAAUGGGUGGCUAUAAAGGUGCACUACGGGUAUCUCCGAAAGUGUCUGUUGGGUUGGCACGAAUCGAGACUGGGAUUUGUCACUCCGUGUAACGGAGAGGUAUCUCUGGGCCCACUCGGUAGGACAUCAUCAUAAUGUGCACAAUGUGACCAAGAGGUUGAUCACGGGAUGAUGUGUUACGGAACGAGUAAAGAGACUUACCGGUAACGAGAUUGAACAAGGUAUCGGGAUACCGACGAUCGAAUCUCGGGCAAGUACAAUACCGCUAGACAAAGGGAAUUGUAUACGGGAUCGAUUGAGUCCUUGACAUCGUGGUUCAUCCGAUGAGAUCAUCGUGGAACAUGUGGGAGCCAACAUGGGUAUCCAGAUCCUGCUGUUGUUUAUUGACCGGAGAACGUCUCGGUCAUGUCUGCAUGGUUCCCGAACCCGUAGGGUCUACCCACUUAAGGUUCGAUGACGCUAGGGUUAUAGGGAAUAGAUAUACGUGGUUACCGAAUGUUGUUCGGAGUCCCGUAUGAGAUCCCGGACGUCACGAGAAGUUCCGGAAUGGUCCGGAGGUAAAGAUUUAUAUAUGUGAAGUCCUGUUUUGGUCGCCGGAAAAGUUUCGGGUGCUGUCGGUAACGUACCGGGACCACCGGGAGGGUCCCGGGGGUCCACCAAGUGGGGCCACCGGCCCUAGAGGGCUGCAUGGGCCAAGUGUGGGAGGGGACUAGCCCUAGGUGGGCUGGUGCGCCCCCCCCCCCACAAGGGCCCAAGGCGCCUAGGGUUUGGGGAGGGGGCGCCUCCACCUUACUUGGGGGGCAAGUUUCCCCUCUCCCCCCCCCCUUGGCCGUCACCCUAGAUGGGUUUUUGGGGCAGCCGCCCCCCUUUGGGGGGCGCAGCCCCCUCCCUCUCCCUAUAUAUACUUGAGGUUUUGGGGCUGCCAUACAUAAGAGUUUCCACCUCUCCCUGGCGUAGCCCUACCUCUUUUUCUCCUCGUCUCUCGCGGUGCUUGGCGAAGCCCUGCUGGAUUGCCACACUCCUCCAUCACCACCACGCCGUUGUGCUAAUGCUGGACGGAGUCUUCCUCAACCUCUCCCUCUCUCCUUGCUAGAUCAAGGCAUGGGAGAGGUCACCGGGCUAUACGUGUGUUGAACGCGGAGGUGCCGUCCGUUCGGCACUAGGAUCUCUGGUGAUUUGGAUCACGAUGAGUAUAACUCCUUCAACCCCGUUCUCUUGAACGCUUCCGCUUAGCGAUCUACAAGGGUAUGUAGAUGCACUCUCCUUCUCUCUCGUUGCUAGUCUCUCCAUAGAUAGAUCUUGGUGACUCGUAGGAAAAUUUUGAAUUUCUGCUACGUUCCCCAACAGUGGCAUCAUGAGCUAGGUCUAUUGCAUAGAUUCUUUGCACGAGUAGAACACAAAGUAGUUGUGGGCGUUGAUUUUGUUCAAUAUGCUUACCGUUACUAGUCUUAUCUUGAUUCGGCGGCAUUGUGGGAUGAAGUGGCCCGGACCGACCUUACACGUACUCUUACGUGACACAGGUUCCACCGACUCACAUGCACUUGUUGCAUAAGGUGGCUAGCGGGUGCCAGUCUCUCCCACUUUAGUCGGAUCGGAUUCGAUGAAAAGGGUCCUUAUGAAGGGUAAAUAUCAAUUGGCAUAUCACGUUGUGGCUUUUACGUAGGUAAGAAACGUUCUUGCUAGAAACCCAUAGCAGCCACGUAAAACAUGGAAACAACAAUUAGAGGACGCCUAACUUGUUUUUGCAGGGUAUGCUAUGUGAUGUGAUCUGGCCAAGAAGAAUGUGAUGAAUGAUAUGUGAUGUAUGAGAUUGAUCAUGUUCUUGUAAUAGGAAUCACGACUUGCAUGUCGAUCAGUAUGACAACCGGCAGGAGCCAUAGGAGUUGUCUUAAUUUAUUGUAUGACCUGCGUGUCAUUGAACAACGCCAUGUAAUUACUUUACUUCAUUGCUAACCGGUAGCCAUAGUAGUAGAAGUAAUAGUUGGCGAGACAACUUCAUGAAGACACGAUGAUGGAGAUCAUGAUGAUGGAGAUCAUGGUGUCAUGCUGGUGACGAUGAUGAUCGUGGAGCCCCGAAGAUGGAGAUCAAAAGGAGCAAAAUGAUAUUGGCCAUAUCAUGUCACUUUUUGAUUGCAUGUGAUGUUUAUCAUGUCUAUGCAUCUUAUUUGCUUAGAACGACGGUAGUAAAUAAGAUGAUCCCUCAUUAAAAUUUCAAGAAAGUGUUCCCCCUAACUGUGCACCGUUGCGAAAGUUCGUCGUUUCGAAGCACCACGUGAUGAUCGGGUGUGAUAGAUUCUAACGUUCACAUACAACGGGUGUAAGCCAGAUUUACACACGCGAAACACUUAGGUUAACUUGACGAGCCUAGCAUGUACAGACAUGGCCUCGGAACACAAGAGACCGAAAGGUCGAGCAUGAGUCGUAUAGUAGAUACGAUCAACAUGAAGAUGUUCACCGAUGAUGACUAGUCUGUCUCACAUGAUGAUCGGACACGGCCUAGUUGACUCGGAUCAUGUAAUCACCUAGAUAACUAGAGGGAUGUCUAUCUGAGUGGGAGUUCAUUAGAUGAACUUAAUUAUCCUGAACAUAGUCAAAAGCCCUUUGCAAACUAUGUCAUAGCUCGUGCUUAAGUUCUACUAUUUUAGAUAUGUUCCUGGAGAAAAUAUAGUUGAAAGUUGACAGUAGCAAUUAUGCGGACAGUAGAAGGCUUAUGUCCUUAAUGCACCGCUCGGUGUGCUGGACCUCGAACGUGGUCUGUGGAUGUUGCGAAUAUCUGACAUACACGUUUUGAUGACUACAUGAUAGUUCGGUAAUGUUAAAUGGUUUAGAGUUGAGGCACCGAAGACAUUUUUGAAAUGUCGCAGAACAUAUGAGAUGUUCCAAGAGCUGAAAUUGGGAUUUCAGGCUCGUGCCCACGUCAAGAGGUAUGAGACCUCAGACGAGUUUUCUAGCCUACAAACUAAGGGAGAAGAUCUCAAUCGUUGAGCUUGUACUCAGAUUGUCUGGGUACAAUAAUCACUUGAAUCGAGUGGGAGUUAAUCUUCCAGAUGAGAUAGUGAUGUUUCUCCAAAGACAUUGCCACCAAGCUACUAGAGCUUCGUGAUGAACUAUAACAUAACAGGGAUAGAUAUGAUGAUCCUUGAGAUAUUCGCGAUGUUUGACACCACGAAUGUAGAAAUCAAGAAGGAGCAUCAAUUGUUGAUGGUUAGUGAAACCACUAGUUUCAAGAAGGGCGAGGUCAAGAAGGGGUACUUCAUGAAACGGCAAAUCAGUUGCUGCUCCAGUGAACAAACCCAAGGUUGAACCCAAACCCGAGACUAAGUGCUUCUGUAAUGAGAGGAACGGACACUGAAGCAGAACCACCCUAGAUACUUAGUAGAUAAGAAGGCAGGCAAGGUCGAAAGAAGUAUAUUGGAUAUACAUCGAAUCAAAUGUGUACUUUACUAGUACUCCUAGUAGCACCAGGGUAUUGAGAUACCGGUUCAGUUUCUAAGUGUUAGUAACUCAAAAUAAAAGCUAUGGAAUAAACGGAGACUAGCUAAAGGUGAGCUGACGAUAUGUGUUGAAAGGUUGAUGUGAUCAAGCAUCGCACGCUCCCUCUACCAUCGAGAUUGGUGUUGAACCUAAAUAAUUGUUAUUUGGUAUUUGCGUUGAGCAUAGACAUGAUUGGAUUAUGUCUAUAGCAAUAUGGUUAUUCAUUUAAGGAGAAUAAUGGUUACUCUGUUUAUUUGAAUAAUACCUUUAAUGGUCUUGCACGGUUUAUUGAAUCUCGAUCGUAGUGAUACACAUGUUCAUGCCAAAAGAUAGUAAUGAUAGUACCACUUACUUGUGGCACUGCCAUGUAAGUCAUAUUGGUAUAAAACGCAUGAAGAAGCUCCAUGUUGAUGGAUCUUUGGACUCACUCGUCUUUUGAAAAGUUUGAGACAUGCGAACCAUGUCUAUUGGUGUAUACACAUGAAGAAACUCCAUGCAGAUGGAUCGUUUGGACUCACUUGAUUUUGAAUCACUUGAGAUAUGCAAAUCAUACCACAUGGGCAAGAUGACUGAAAAGCCUCAUUUUCAGUAAGAUGGAACAAGAUAGCAACUUGUUGGAAGUAACACAUUUUGAUGUGUGCAGUCCAAUGAGUGCUGAGGCAUGUAGUGAAUAUCGUUAUGUUCUUACUUCACAGAUGAUUCGAGUAGAUGUUGAGUAUAUUUACUUGAUGAAACACAAGUCUGAAUUAUUGAAUGGUUCAAGUAAUUUCAGAGUGAAGUUGAAGAUCAUCGUGACAAGAGGAUAAAAUGUCUAUGAUAUGAUCAUAGAGAUGAGUAUCUGAGUUAUGAGCUUUGGCACGCAAUUAAGACAUUGUGGAAAUUGUUUCACAAUUAAUACCUCCUGGAACACCAUAGUGUGAUGGUGUGUCCGAACAUCAUAGUUGCACCCUAUUGGAUAUGGUGCGUACCAUGAUGUCUCUUAUCGAAUUACCACUAUCGUUCAUGGGUCAAGCAUUAGAGACAACCACAUUCACUUUAAUCGGGCACCACAUAAUUCCGUAGAGAUGACACCGCAUGAACUAUGGUUUAGAGAAACCUAAGUUGUCGUUUCUUGAAAGUUUGGGGCUGCGACGCUUAUAUGAAAAAGUUUCAUCCUGAUGAGCUCGAACCGAAAGCGGAUAAAUACAUAUUCAUAGGGCACCCAAAACAGUUGGGUAUACCUCCUAUUUCAGAUCCAAAAGCAAAAGGAUUGUUUCUAGAAACGGGUCCUUUCUCGAGGAAAAGUUUCUCUCGAAAGAAUUGAGUGGGAGGAUUGUGGAGACUUGAUGAGGUUGUUGAACCAUCACUUCAACUAGUGUGUAGCAGGGCACAGGAAGUUGUUCCUGUGGCACCUACACCAAUUGAAGUAGAAGCUUAUGAUAGAGAUCAUGAAACUUCGGAUCAAGUCACUACCAAACCUCGUAGGUCGACAAGGAUGCGUACUGCUUCAGAGUGGUACGUAAUCCUGUAUUAGAGGUCAUGUUGCUAGACAACAAUGAACCUACAAGCUAUGGAGAAGCAAUGGCGGGCCCAGAUUCCGACAAAUGGCUCGAGGCCAUAAAAUCCGAGAGAGGAUCCAUGUAUGAGAACAAAGUGUGGACUUUGGAAGAACUGCUUGAUGGUCAUAAGGCUGUUGGGUACAGAUGGAUUUUAAAAGGAAGACAGACAAUGAUGGUAAGUAUUAUCAUUACCAAUCCUGAAAGACGCUAAUAAGUAUGCAAAGCUCCAGCAAUCCUUCUAAGGACUGGAGUAAGCAUCUCGGAGUUGGAAUGUACGCUUUGAUGAGAUGAUCAAAGAUUUUGGGUUUAUACAAAGUUUAUGAGAAACUUGUAUUUCCAAAGAAGUGAGUGGGAGCACUAUAGAAUUUCUGAUAAGUAUAUGUGAAUGACAUAUUGUUGAUCCGAAAUGAUGUAAAAUUUCUGGAAAGCAUAUAGUGUUAUUUGAAAAGUGUUUUUCAAUAGAAAACCUGAAUUAAGCUGCUUGAACAUUGAGCAUCAAGAUCUAUGAGGAUAGAUCAAAACGCUAAAUGGUACUUUCAAAUGAGCACAUACCUUCACAUGAUCUUGAAGGUGUUCAAGAUGGAUCAGUCAAAGAAGGAGUUCUUGCCUGAGUUGUAAGGUAUGAAGUUAAGACUUAAAGCUCGACCACGACAGAAGAAAGAGGAAGGACGGAGGUCGUCCCCUAUGCUUUUGACAUAGGCUCUAUAUGGUAUGCCAUGCUGAGUACCGCACCUGAUGUGUGCCUUGACACAUGUCUGGCAAGAGGGUACAAAGGUGAUCCAGGAGUGGAUCACUAGACAGCGGUCAAAAAAUUGUCCUUGGAGUAAAUAAGGGCAUGUUUCUCGAUUAUGGAGGUGAUAAAGACUUUGGCGUAAAGGGUUACAUCGAUGCAAGCUUUAACACCUAUCUGAAUGACUCUGAGUAGCAAACCGGAUACGUAUAGUGGAGCAACCAUUUGGAAUAGCUCCAAGUGGAGCGUGGAAGCAACAUUUACAAUAUGACCUAGAGAUUUGCGAAGUACAUACGGAUCUGAAUGUUGCAGACCCGUUGACUAAAACCUCUCAACCAAGCAAAACAUGAUCAAAUCCCAGAACUCAUUGAGUCUUAAUCACAUGAUGAUGUGAACUAGUUUAGUGACACUAGUAAACUCUUUGGAUGUUGGUCACAUGGCGAUGUGACCUGUCAGUGUUAAUCACAUGGCGAUGUGAACUAGAUUAUUGACUCUAGUGCAAGUGGGAGACUGUUGGAAAUAUGCCCUAGAGGCAAUAAUAAAUUAGUUAUUAUUAUUAUAUUUCCUUGUUCAUGAUAAUCGUUUAUUAUCCAUGCUAUAAUUGUAUUGAUAGGAAAUUCAGAUACAUGUGUGGGUACAUAAACAACACCAUGUCCCUAGUAAGCCUCUAGUUGACUAGCUCGUUGAUCAAUAGAUGGUUACGAUUUCCUAACCAUGGACAUUGGAUGUCGUUGAUAACGGGAUCACAUCAUUAGGAGAAUGAUGUGAUGGACAAGACCCAAUCCUAAGCCUAGCACAAAAAUCGUGUAGUUCGUAUGCUAAAGCUUUUCUAAUGUCAAGUAUCAUUUCCUUAGACCAUGAGAUUGUGCAACUCCCGGAUACCGUAGGAAUGCUUUGGGUGUACCAAACGUCACAACGUAAAUGGGUGGCUAUAAAGGUGCACUACGGGUAUCUCCGAAAGUGUCUGUUGGGUUGGCACAAAUCGAGACUGGGAUUAGUCACUCCGUGUAACGGAGAGGUAUCUCUGGGCCCACUCGGUAGGACAUCAUCAUAAUGUGCACAAUGUGACCAAGGGGUUGAUCACGGGAUGAUGUGUUAUGGAACGAGUAAAGAGACUUACCGGUAACGAGAUUGAACAAGGUAUCGGGAUAACGACGAUCGAAUCUCGGGCAAGUACAAUACCGCUAGACAAAGGGAAUUGUAUAUGGGAUCGAUUGAGUCCUUUACAUCGUGGUUCAUCCGAUGAGAUCAUCGUGGAACAUGUGGGAGCCAACAUGGGUAUCCAGAUCCCGCUGUUGGUUAUUGACCGGAGAACGUCUCGGUCAUGUCUGCAUGGUUCCCGAACCCGUAGGGUCUACACACUUAAGGUUCGAUGACGCUAGGGUUAUAGGGAAUAGAUAUACGUGGUUACCGAAUGUUGUUCAGAGUCCCGUAUGAGAUCCCGGACGUCACGAGAAGUUCCGGAAUGGUCCGGAGGUAAAGAUUUAUAUAUGUGAAGUCCUGUUUUGGUCGCUGGAAAAGUUUCGGGUGCUGUCGGUAACGUACCGGGACCACCGGGAUGGUCCCGGGGGUCCACCAAGUGGGGCCACCGGCCCCAGAGGGCUGCAUGGGCCAAGUGUGGGAGGGGACCAGCCCCNNNNNNNNNNNNNNNNNNNNNNNNNNNNNNNNNNNNNNNNNNNNNNNNNNNNNNNNNNNNNNNNNNNNNNNNNNNNNNNNNNNNNNNNNNNNNNNNNNNNNNNNNNNNNNNNNNNNNNNNNNNNNNNNNNNNNNNNNNNNNNNNNNNNNNNNNNNNNNNNNNNNNNNNNNNNNNNNNNNNNNNNNNNNNNNNNNNNNNNNNNNNNNNNNNNNNNNNNNNNNNNNNNNNNNNNNNNNNNNNNNNNNNNNNNNNNNNNNNNNNCCCCCCCACAAGGGCCCAAGGCGCCUAGGGUUUGGGGAGGGGGCGCCUCCACCUUACUUGGGGGGCAAGUUUCCCCUCUCCCCCCCCCUUGGCCGCCACCCUAGAUGGGUUUUUGGGGCAGACGCACCCCUUGGGGUGGGAACCCUAGGGGGGCGCAGCCCCCUCCCUCUCCCCUACAUAUACUUGAGGUUUUGGGGCUGCCAUACACAAGAGUUUCCACCUCUCCCUGGCGCAGCCCUACCUCUCUUUCUCCUCGUCUCUCGCGGUGCUUGGUGAAGCCCUGCUGGAUUGCCACGCUCCUCCAUCACCACCACGCCGUUGUGCUGCUGCUGGACGGAGUCUUCUUCAACCUCUACCUCUCUCCUUGCUGGAUCAAGGCAUGGGAGACGUCACCGGGCUGUACGUGUGUUGAACGCGGAGGUGCCGUCCGUUCGGCACUAGGAUCUCCGGUGAUUUGGAUCACGACGAGUAUGACUCCUUCAACCCCAUUCUCUUGAACGCUUACGCUUAGCGAUCUACAAGGGUAUGUAGAUGCACUUUCCUUCUCUCUCGUUGCUAGUCUCUCCAUAGAUAGAUCUUGGUGACUCGUAGGAAAAUUUUGAAUUUCUGCUACGUUCCCCAACAUGGCUUGCCCCCCAAGCCAGGUGGAGGCGCCCCCACCACUAGGGUUUCCCAAGCCUAGGCGCGGGGGGGGGCCCAAGGGGGGCGCACCAGCCCACCAGGGGCUGGUUCCCCUCCCACUUCAGCCCAUGGGACCCUCCGGGAUAGGUGGACCCACCCGGUGGACCCCCGGGACCCUUUCGGUGGUCCCGGUACAAUACCGGUGACCCCCGAAACUUUCCCGAUGGCCGAAACCUGACUUCCUAUAUAUAAUUCUUUACUUCCGGAUCAUUUCGGAACUCCUCGCGACGUCCGGGAUCUUAUCCGGGACUUCGAAAAACUUUCGGGUUACUGCAUACUCAUAUCUCUACAACCCUAGCAUCACCGAACCUUAAGUGUGUAGACCCUACGGGUUUGGGAGACACGUAGACAUGACCGAGAUGACUCUCCGGUCAAUAACCAACAGCGGGAUCUGGUUACCCAUGUUGGCUCCCACAUGCUCCUCGAUGAUCUCAUCAGAUGAACCACGAUGUCGAGGAUUCAAGCAACCCCGUAUACAAUUCCCUUUGUCAAUCGGUAUGUUACUUGCCCGAGAUUCGAUCGUCAGUAUCCCAAUACCUUAUUCAAUCUCGUUACCGGCAAGUCACUUUACUCAUACCGUAAUGCAUGAUCCCGUGACCAAACACUUGGUCACUUUGAGCUCAUUAUGAUGAUGCAUUACCGAGUGGGCCCAGAGAUACCUCUCCGUCAUACGGAGUGACAAAUCCCAGUCUCGAUCCGUGUCAACCCAACAAACACUUUCGGAGAUACCCGUAGUAUACCUUUAUAGUCACCCAGUUACGUUGUGACGUUUGGUACACCCAAAGCACUCCUACGGUGUCCGGGAGUUACACGAUCUCAUGGUCUAAGGAAAAGAUACUUGACAUUGGAAAAGCUCUAGCAAACGAACUACACGAUCUUGUUCUAUGCUUAGGAUUGGGUCUUGUCCAUCACAUCAUUCUCCUAAUGAUGUGAUCCCGUUAUCAACGACAUCCAAUGUCCAUAGUCAGGAAACCAUGACUAUCAGUUGAUCAACGAGCUAGUCAACUAGAGGCUUACUAGGGACAUGUUGUGGUCUAUGUAGUCACACAUGUAUUACGAUUUCCGGAUAACACAAUUAUAGCAUGAAUAAUAGACGAUUAUCAUGAACAAUGAAAUAUAAUAAUAAUCUUUUAUUAUUGCCUCUAGGGCAUAUUUCCAACAGUCUCCCACUUGCACUAGAGUCAAUAAUCAAGUUACAUUAUGAUGAAUCGAACACCCAUAGAGUUCUGGUGUUGAUCAUGUUUUGCUCGCGAAGAGGUUUAGUCAACGAAUCUGCGAUAUUCAAAUCCGUAUGCACCUUGCAAAUAUCUAUGUCUCCAUCUUGAACAUUUUCACGGAUGGAGUUGAAACGACGCUUGAUGUGCCUGGUCUUCUUGUGAAACCUGGGCUCCUUGGCAAGGGCAAUAGCUCCAGUGUUGUCACAGAAGAGAGUGAUCGGCCCCGACGCAUUGGGUAUGACUCCUAGGUCGGUGAUGAACUCCUUCAUCCAUAUUGCUUCAUGCGCUGCCUCCGAGGCUGCCAUGUACUCCGCUUCACAUGUAGAUCCCAUCACGACGCUCUGCUUGCAGCUGCACCAGCUUACUGCUCCACCAUUCAACAUAUACACGUAUCCGGUUUGUGACUUAGAGUCAUCCAGAUCUGUGUCGAAGCUAGCGUCGACGUAACCCUUUACGACGAGCUCUUCGUCACCUCCAUAAACGAGAAACAUAUCCUUAGUCCUUUUCAGGUACUUCAGGAUAUUCUUGACCGAUGUCCAGUGUUCCUUGCCGGGAUUACUUUGGUACUUUCCUACCAAACUUACGGCAAGGCUUACAUCAGGUCUGGCACACAGCUUGGCAUACAUAAUAGACCCUAUGGCUGAGGCACAGGGGAUGAAACUCAUCUCUUAUAUAUCUUCUGCCGUGGUCGGGCAUUGAGCCGAGCUCAAUCUCACACCUUGCAAUAUAGGCAAGUACCCUUUCUUGGACUGAUCCAUAUUGAACUUCUUCAAUAUCUUAUCAAGGUAUGUGCUUUGUGAAAGACCUAUGAGGUGUCUUGAUCUAUCCCUAUAGAUCUUGAUGCCUAAUAUGUAAGCAGCUUCCCCAAGGUCCUUCAUUGAAAAACACUUAUUCAACUAGGCCUUAAUGUUGUCCAAAAGUUCUAUAUCAUUUCCCAUCAAAAGUAUGUCAUCUACAUAUAAUACGAGAAAUGCUACAGAGCUCCCACUCACUUUCUUGUAAACUCGGGCUUCUCCAUAAGUCUGCAUAAACCCAAACGCUUUGAUCAUCUCAUCAAAGUGAAUGUUCCAACUCCGAGAUGCUUGCACCAGCCCAUAAAUGGAUCAUUGGAGCUUGCAUACCUUGUUAGCAUUCUUAGGGUCGACAAAACCUUCCGGCUGCAUCAUAUACAGUUCUUCCUUAAGAUAGCCAUUAAGGAAUGCCGUUUUGACGUCCAUCUGCCAUAUCUCAUAAUCAUAGUAUGCGGCAAUUGCUAACAUGAUUAGGACGGACUUCAGCUUCGCUACGGGAGAUAAAGUCUCAUCGUAGUCAACCCCUUGAACUUGCCGAUAACACUUAGCGACAAGUCGAGCUUUAUAGAUGGUAACAGUACCAUCCGCGUCCGUCUUUUUCUUAAAGAUCCAUUUGUUUUCUAUCGCUCGCCGAUCAUCGGGCAAGUCUGUCAAAGUCCAUACUUUGUUUUCAUACAUGGAUCCUAUCUCGAAUUGCAUGGCUUCAAGCCAUUUGUUGGAAUCUGGGCCCGUCAUGGCUUCUUCAUAGUUCGAAGGUUCACCGUUGUCUAACAACAUGAUUUCCAGGACAGGGUUGCCAUACCACUCUGGUGUGGAACGUGUCCUUGUGGACCUACGAAGUUCAGUAGCAACUUGAUCCGAAGUACCUUGAUCAUCAACAUUAAUUUCCUCUCCAGUCGGUGUGGGCACCACAGGAACACUUUCCUGAGCUGCACCACUUUCCGGUUCAAGAGGUAGUACUUCAUCGAGUUCUACUUUCCUCCCACUUACUCCUUUCAAGAGAAACUCUUUAUCCAGAAAGGAUCCGUUCUUGGCAACAAAGAUCUUGCCUUCGGAUCUAAGGUAGAAGGUAUACCCAAUGGUUUCCUUGGGGUAUCCUAUGAAGACGCAUUUUUCCGACUUGGGUUCAAGCUUUUCAGGUUGAAGUUUAUUGACAUAAGCAUCGCAUCCUCAAACUUUUAGAAACAACAACUUAGAUUUCUUCCCAAACCAUAAUUCAUACGGUGUCGUCUCAACGGAUUUAGACGGUGCCCUAUCUAAAGUGAAUGUAGCUGUCUCUAGAGCGUAUCCCCAAAAUGAUAGCGGUAAAUCGGUAAGAGACAUCAUAGACCGCACCAUAUCCAAUAAAGUGCGAUUAUGACAUUCGGACACACCGUUGCGCUGAGGUGUUCCAGGCGGCGUGAGUUGUGAAACGAUUCCACAUUUCCUUAAGUGCGUACCAAAUUCAUGACUUAAAUAUUCUCCUCCACGAUCUGAUCCUAAGAACUUUAUUUUUCGGUCACGAUGAUUCUCUACCUCAUUCUGAAAUUCCUUGAACUUUUCAAAGGUCUUAGACUUGUUUUUCAUCAAGUAGACAUACCCAUAUCUACUUAAGUCAUCAGUGAGAGUGAGAACAUAACGAUAUCCUCCGCGAGCCUCAACGCUCAUUGGACCGCACACAUCAGUAUGUAUGAUUUCCAAUAAGUUGGUUGCUCGCUCCAUUGUUCCGGAGAACGGAGUCUUGGUCAUUUUGCCCAUGAGGCAUGGUUCGCAUGUGUCAAAUGAUUCAUAAUCGAGAGACUCUAAAAGUCCAUCAGCAUGGAGCUUCUUCAUGCGCUUGACACCAAUGUGACCAAGGCUGCAGUGCCACAAGUAUGUGGGACUAUCGUUAUCAACCUUACAUCUUUUGGUAUUCACACUAUGAAUAUGUGUAACAUUACGUUCGAUAUUCAUUAAGAACAAACCAUUGACCAGCGGGGCAUGACCAUAAAACAUAUCUCUCAUAUAAAUAGAACAACCAUUAUUCUCGGAUUUAAAUGAGUAGCCAUCUCGCAUUAAACGAGAUCCAGAUACAAUGUUCAUGCUCAAAGCUGGCACUAAAUAACAAUUAUUGAGGUUUAAAACUAAUCCCAUAGGUAAAUGUAGAGGUAGCGUGCUGAUGGCGAUCACAUCGACCUUGGAACCAUUCCCGACGCGCAUCGUCACCUCGUCCUUCGCCAGUCUCCGCUUAUUCCGCAGCUCCUGUCUUGAGUUACAAAUAUGAGCAACGACACCGGUAUCAAAUACCCAGGAGCUACUACGAGCACUGGUAAGGUACACAUCAAUUACAUGUAUAUCACAUAUACCUUUAGUGUUGCCGGCCUUCUUGUCUGCUAAGUAUUUGGGGCAGUUCCGCUUCCAGUGAUCCUUCCUUUUGCAAUAAAAGCGCUCAGUCUCAGGCUUGGGUCCAUUCUUUGACUUCUUCCCGGCAACUGGCUUACCGGGGGCGGCAACUUCCUUGUCGGCCUUCUUGAAGUUCUUCUUACCCUUGCCCUUCUUGAACUUAGUGGUUUUAUUGACCAUCAACACUUGAUGUUCCUUUUUGAUUUCUACCUCUGCUGAUUUCAGCAUUGAAAAUACUUCAGGAAUAGUUUUCUCCAUUCCUUGCAUAUUGUAGUUCAUCACAAAGCUCUUGUAGCUUGGUGGAAGCGACUGAAGGAUUCUGUCAAUGACCGCCUCGUCCGGGAGGUUAAUGUCCAGCUGGGACAAGCGGUUGUGCAACCCAGACAUUUUGAGUAUGUACUCACUGACAGAACUGUUUUCCUCCAUCUUACAACUAUAGAACUUGUCGGAGACUUCAUAUCUCUCGACCCGGGCAUGAGCUUGGAAAACCAUUUUCAGAUCCUCGAACAUCUCAUAUGCUUCGUGUUGCUCAAAAUGCUUUUGGAGCCCGGUUCUAGGUUGUAAAGCAUGCCGCACUGAACGAGGGAGUAAUCAUCAGCACGUGACUGCCAAACGUUCAUAAUGUCUUGGUUCUCUAGGAUGGGUGCUUCACCUAGUGGUCCUUCUAGGACAUAUGCUUUCUUGGCAGCUAUGAGGAUGAUCCUCAGGUUCCAGACCCAGUCCGUAUAGUUGCUGCCAUCAUCUUUCAGCUUGGUUUUCUCUAGGAACGCGUUGAAGUUCAUGUUGACAUGAGCGUUGGCCAUUUGAUGUACAAGACAUUUAUGCAAAGGUUUUUAGACUAAGUUCAUGAUAACUAAGUUCAUCUAAUCAAAUUAUUUAAUGAACUCCCACUCAGAUUAGACAUCCCUCUAGUCAUCUAAGUGAUACAUGAUCCGAGUCAACUAGGCUGUGUGCGAUCAUCACGUGAGACGGACUAGUCAUCAUCGGUGAACAUCUCCAUGUUGAUCGUAUCUUCCAUACGACUCAUGUUCGACCUUUCGGUCUCUGUGUUCCGAGGCCAUGUAUGUACAUGCUAGGCUCAUCAAGUUAACCUAAGUGUUUUGCAUGUGUAAAUAUGUCUUACACCCGUUGAAUGUGGACGUUGGAAUCUAUCACACCCGAUCAUCACAUGGUGCUUCGAAACAACAAGCUUUCGCAACGACACACAGUUAGGGGGAACACUUUCUUGAAAUUAUUAUGAGGGAUCAUCUUAUUUACUACCGUCGUUCUAAGUAAACAAGAUGCAUAAACAUGAUAAAGAUCACAUGCAAUCAAAUAAUAGUGACAUGAUAUGGCCAAUAUCAUAUAGCUCCUUUGAUCUCCAUCUUCGGGACGCCAUGAUCAUCUUCGUCACCGGCAUGACACCAUGAUCUCCAUCAUCAUGAUCUCCAUCAUUGUGUCUCCAUGAAGUUGCUCGCCAAAUAUUACUUCUACUUACUAUGGCUAACGGUUUAGCAAUAAAGUAAAGUAAUUACAUGGCAUUGAAUCAUUGACACGCAGGUCAUACAAUAAUUAAGACAACUCCUAUGGCUCCUGCCGGUUGUCAUACUCAUCGACAUGCAAGUCGUGAUUCCUAUUACAAGAACAUGAUCUCAUACAUCACAUAUAUAUCAUUCAUCACAACUUUUGGCCAUAUCACAUCACAAAGCAAUUGCUGCAAAAACAAGUUAGACGUCCUCUAAUUGUUGUUGCAUGUUUUACGUGGCUGCAAUAGGGUUCUAGCAAGAACGUUUUCUUACCUACAUGAAAGCCACAACAUGAUUUGUCAAAUUCUAUUUACCCUUCAUAAGGACCCUUUUCAUCGAAUCCGCUCUAACUAAAGUGGGAUAGACAGACACGCGCUAGCCACCUUAUGCAACUAGUGCAUGUCAGUCGGUGGAACCUGUCUCACGUAAGCGUACGUGUAAGGUCGGUCCGGGCCACUUCAUCCCACAAUACCGCUGAAGCAAAAUAAUACUAGUAGUGGCAAGAAAGUUGACAACAUCUACGCCCACAACAAGUUUGUGUUCUACUCGUGCAAAGAGAACUACGCAUAGACCUAGCUCUGAUACCACUAUUGGGGAAUGUUGCAGAAAAUAAAAAAUUUCCUACGGUUUCACCAAGAUCAAUCUAUGAGUUCAACUAGCAACGAGUGAGAGGAGUGCAUCUACAUACCCUUGUAGAUCGAGAAGAAGCGUUCAAGAGAACGGGGUUGAGGGAGUCGUACUCGUCAUGAUCCAAAUCACCGAUGAUCCUAGUGCUGAACGGACAGUACCUCCACGUUCAACACACGUACGGUUGGGGAAGACGUCUCCUCCUUCUUGAUCCAGCAAGGGGGAAGGAGAGGUUGAUGGAGAUCCAGCAGCACGACGGCAUGGUGGUGGAUGCAGCGGCGAUCUCGGCAGGGCUUCGCCAAGCGUCUGCGAGAGGGAGAGGUGUAGCAGAGGGAGAUGGAGGCGCCAAGAGCAUGGGUGCGGCUGCCCUCCAUCCCCCCUCUUUAUAUAGGGCCCCUAGGGGGGCGCCGGCCCUAGGAGAUGGGAUCUCCAAGGGGGGCGGCUACCAAGGGGGUGGCUUGCCCCCCAAGCCAGGUGGAGGCGCCCCCUCCCCUAGGGUUUCCCAACCCUAGGCGCAGGGGGGCCAAGGGGGUGCACCAGCCCACCAGGGGCUGGUUCCCCUCCCACUUCAGCCCAUGGGGCCCUCCAGGAUAGGUGGACACACCCGGUGGACCCCCGGGACCCUUCCGAUGGUCCCGAUACGAUAUCGGUGACCCCCGGAACUUUCCCGAUGGCCGAAACCUGACUUCCUAUAUAUAAUUCUUUACCUCUGGACCAUUCCGGAACUCCUCGUGAUGUCCGGGAUCUCAUUCGGGACUCCGAACAUCUUUCGGGUUACUGCAUACUCAUAUCUCUACAACCCUAGCAUCACCGAACCUUAAGUGUGUAGACCCUACGGGUUCGGGAGACACGUAGACAUGACCGAGACGACUCUCCGGUCAAUAACCAACAGCGGGAUCUGGAUACCCAUGUUGGCUCCCACAUGCUCCUCGACGAUCUCAUCGGACGAACCACGAUGUCGAGGAUUCAAGCAACCCCGUAUACAAUUCCCUUUGUCAAUCGGUACGUUACUUGCCCGAGAUUCGAUCGUCGGUAUCACAAUACCUUGUUCAAUCUCGUUACCGGCAAGUCACUUUACUCGUACCGUAAUGCAUGAUCCCGUGACAAAACACUUGGUCACUUUGAGCUCAUUAUGAUGAUGCAUUACCGAGUGGGCCCAGAGAUACCUCUCCAUCAUACGGAGUGACAAAUCCUAGUCUCGAUCCGUGUCAACCCAACAAACACUUUCAGAGAUACCCGUAGUAUACCUUUAUAGUCACCCAGUUAUGUUGUGACGUUUGGUACACCCAAAGCACUCCUACGGUGUCCGGGAGUUACACGAUCUCAUGGUCUAAGGAAAAGAUACUUGACAUUGGAAAAGCUCUAGCAAACGAACUACACGAUCUUGUGCUAUUCUUAGGAUUGGGUCUUGUCCAUCACAUCAUUCUCCUAAUGAUGUGAUCCCGUUAUCAACGACAUCCAAUGUCCAUAGUCUGGAAACCAUGACUAUCAGUUGAUCAACGAGCUAGUCAACUAGAGGCUUACUAGGGACAUGUAGUGGGCUAUGUAUUCACACAUGCAUUACGAUUUCCGGAUAACACAAUUAUAGCAUGAAUAAUAGACGAUUAUCAUGAACAAUGAAAUAUAAUAAUAAUCUUUUAUUAUUGCCUCUAGGGCAUAUUUCCAACACCUAAGUGGUGAUUUAUUUUCCUAUACUAACGGAGCUUACGAGUUUUCUGUUGAGUUUUGUGUUGUGAAGUUUUCAAGUUUUGGGUAAAGAUUCGAUGGACUAUGGAAUAAGGAGUAGCAAGAGCCUAAGAUUGGGGAUGCCCAAGGCACCCCAAAGUAAUAUUCAAGGACAACCAAGAGCCUAAGCUUGGGAUGCCCCGGAUGGUAUCCCCUCUUUCGUCUUUGUUCAUCGGUAACUUUACUUGGAGCUAUAUUUUUAUUCACCACAUGAUAUGUGUUUUGCUUGGAGCGUCAUUUUUUUGUUAGUAUUUGCUUGCUGUUAUUUAGAAUAAUGUUUUUCAUCUAUAUUUUCAAUAAAAAUGUCAAGGAUAGCCUUUACCAUGCUUAUUUUACAAGUAUACAUGUUGCUGUUUCAAAACAGAAAGUUUACCAUUGUUGCAAAAUUCCCUAGAAAAGUCGGAAAAUGAUAAAAUGUUGAAACUAGUUGCCUAUUGAUCUCUGAUAAAUCUUCUAUAUUGUGGUAGACUUUCAUGAUUUUUGGAGUUAGGGAAGUAUGAUGAAUCUUGCAUUCUUUACAGACUGUACUGUUUUGACAGAUUGUUGUUAUGUUUGCAUAUGUUUGCUUGUUUAAUGAUUCUAUUUGAGGAUAGGAUUAUUAAAUAUAUAGAGACAUUUAGUAUGCAAUGUUGAAUAAUAAGUUUUGUGAUUUGUUACAGUAGAACAUGAUAUGGUUUUUGCAUUGGUUUAUACUAACUUAUCUCAUGAGUUCUUGUUGAGUUUGGUGUGGAUGAAGCUUUUGAGAUUUAUGAAACCGAGAUAUAAAAGGAAUUAAGGAGACACAAAGGCUCAAGCUUGGGGAUGUCCAAGGCACCCCAAGAUAAUAUUUCAAGAAGUCUCAAGCAUCCAAGCUUGGGGAUGCCCCAUUAGGCAUCCCACCUUUCUUCUUCAACAACUAUCGGUUAGUAUCAGUUGAACCUAAGUUUUUGCUUCUUCACAUGAUGUGUGCUAUCCUUGAAAUGUCAUUUUCUUUUGUGUUGCUUGCUGCUUGAAUAAAAUACCAAGAUCUGAAAUUCUUAAAUGUUAGAGAGUCUUCACAUAGUUGCACACUUAUUUGACUACUCAUUGAUCUUCACUUAUAUCUUUUGCAGUAGUUUGUCUUUUGCUCUAGUGCUUCACUUAUAUCUUUUUAGAGCACGGCGGUGGUUUUAUUUUGUAUAAAUUAUUGAUCUCUCAUGCUUCACUUAUAUUAUUUUGAAAGUCUUUUAGAACAGCAUGGUAUUUGCUUUGGUUAUAAAAUUGGUCCUAAUAUGAUGGGCAUCCAAGAUAGGUAUAAUAAAAACUAUCAUAUAGAGUGCAUUAAACACUAUGAUCAAUUUGAUACUUGAUAAUUGUUUUGAGAUAUAAAGGUGGUAAUGUUAGAGUCAUUCUAGUUGGGUAAUUAUGAAAUUGAGAAAUACUUGUGUUAAAGUUGGCAAGUCCCGUAGCAUGCACGUAUCGUGAACGUUGUGUGACAAAUUUGAAGCAUGGGGUGUUCUUUGAUUGCCUUCCUUAUGAGUGGAGGUCGGGAUAUCGCGAUGGUUAACUCCUACCAACCCUUCCCCUACGAGCAUGCGCAGUAGUACUUUGCUUCGAGGGCUAAUAAACUUUUGCAAUAAGUAUAUGAGUUCUUUAUGACUAAUGUGAGUCCAUGGAUUAUACGCACUCUUAGCCUUCCACAAUUUGCUAGCCUCUACGGUACCGUGCAUUUCCCUUUCUCACCUUGAGAGUUGGUGCAAACUUCGCCAGUGCAUCCAAACCCCGUGAUACGAUACGCUCUAUCACACAUAAACCUCCUUAUGUCUUCCUCAAAACAGACACCAUACCUACCUAUUAUGGCAUUUCCAUAACCAUUCCGAGAUAUAUUGCCAUGCAACUUUCCGUCGUUCCGUUUAUUAUGACACGCUCCAUCAUUGUCAUAUUGCUUUUUUUGCAUGAUCAUGUAGUUGACAUCGUAUUUGUGGCAAACCACCUUUAUAAUUCUUUCAUACAUGUCGCUCUUGAUUCAUUGCAUAUCCCGGUACACCGCCGGAGGCAUUCACAUAGAGUCAUAUUUUGUCCUAAGUAUUGAGUUGUAAUUCUUGAGUUGUAAAUAAAUAAAAGUGUGAUGAUCUUCAUUAUUAGAGCAUUGUCCCAAGUGAGGAAAGGAUGAUGGAGACUAUGAUCCCCCCACAAGUCGGGAUGAGACUCUGGACUUUAUGAAAAAUAAAAGAGGCCAAAGAAGUCCAAAUAAAAAAAGGACAAAGAAGCCCACCAAAAUAAAAAAAAUGAGAGAAAAAGAGAGAAGGGACAAUGUUAGUAUCCUUUUUCCAAACUUAUGCUCCAAAGUAGCACCAUGAUCUUCAUGAUAGAGAGUCUCCUUGUUGUCACUUUCAGAUACUAGUGGGAAUUUUUCAUUAUAGAACUCGGCUUGUAUAUUCCAAUGAUGGGCUUCCUCAAAAUGCCCUAGGUCUUCGUGAGGAAGCAAGUUCGAUGCACACCCACUUAGUUUCUUUUGUUGAGCUUUCAUACAUUUAUAGCUCCAGUGCAUCCGUUGCAUGGCAAUCCCUACUCCUCAUAUUGACAUCAAUUGAUGGGCAUCUCCAUAGCCCAUUGAUUAGCCGCGUCAAUGUGAGACUUUCUUUGUUUUCGUCUUCUCACACAAUCCCUAUCAUCAUACUCUACUCCACCCAUAGUGUUAUAUCCAUGGCUUACGCUCAUGUAUUGCGUGAGGGUUGAAAAAGCUGAAGCGCAUUAAAAAUAUGAACCAAUUGUUUGGCUGAAACCGGGGUUGUGCAUGAUGGGAGUAUUUUGUGUGACGAAAAUGAAGCAUGGCCAAACUAUAUGAUUUUGUAGGGAUAAGCUUUUUUUGGCUAUGAAAUAGAUAGUAGGGAAGAAAACAGGGCAUGAAAUAAUUCACAUUUAUGUUGUCUAACCAAACAGAAUAGCGGGACAUAAUUUCACAUAUAUGAUGGCUAAUUAAACAGGAUAGCAUGACACAAUUUCACAUGUAUGAUGGCUAACUAAACAGGAUAGAAUGACAUACUUCAAAAUAUGAUGACUAUGUAAACAUGAUGACAUGAUAUAACUAUAUGAUGUGUCUAUUAAAGUGGUUGGCAUGCCAUAAAUCACAAACAUGCCAUCGAUGAAAACAUGAUGGCAUGAUAUAAUUCACGGAUAGAAUGACAUAAUUUAAAAUAUGAUGACUAUGUAAACAGGAUGACAUGAUAUAACUAUAUUAUGUCUUUAGAAAAUGCGUUGGCAUGCCAUAAUUCAGAUAAUUGUUGUCUAUGUAAACAGCAUGUGAUAUAAUUCAAAUAUAUGAUUUAUAUACUAAGGAAGUGAGCAGAGGGCAAUCACAUAUAUGAUGUGUCAACUAAGGAGAUGGCAUUCAAUAUUGUGUAUAUGAUGUAAAAACUAAGCAUUGCAAUACAACAUAUACAUGAUAUGAGUAAUAUAACCCUGCCAAGUUUGAGCAUACACCUUAGGGGAAUAAUAUGACUGGACAUCUGCCUCUGAAUCCUCCUCUGAAGAGCUAUAUGAAACCAGCAAGAUAUCUGCUUCAGCAGGUAGCAUUGUCUGCUCUAAAGACCUUGUUUUCAAUCCAGAUUUCUCCUUCACCAAUUCAAAUGGCUGAUGCACAGGAAGUGCGGUUGAAUAUACAAACAUUAUCGACAAAAGCAAUGAGAAAUACAAAAAAAGGACGGCAUGAUAUAAUUCACAUAUAUGACGCUUGGCUAAACAGCAUGGCAUUGCAUAAUUCACAUAUAUAAUGCCUUGCAACAAGAUAACACUGCACAAUUCAUAUAUAUAAUGUCUUGCAACAAGAUGGCAUUACAUAAUUCGCAUAUAUGGUAAUUAGACACUAAAGAGGUGGCAUUCACACAAAGAAUGUCUAAACUAAGCAAAUAACAUAGCAAUGCAAGAUACCAUACGCACGAUAUGCACGUAUAUAUGAUGUACAAAGAUGGGCCACGACCUCAACUAUACAAGAAACUAGGAGGUGGGCCAGAUACACAAAUAUAAACAAAUAUGCACAUAACAUAUAUUGUACUAGUAGUACUUCAUCGUUUUGGAACACCGGCGUCUGCAGGUCGGUUAGUGAGACCGGAUCUUUUUGCUCUGAAGUGGGGGGGUUCAUGAGGCAUAUCCGGACCUCCUACCGCAGUCCAAAUCAAGAAACAUUUCAGUAACAUAUUGAUGUCUCUGGAUUUAGAAAUACCUAAGUUCCUGCUUGGAAUGGGUGUAACUUUUUACACCUGUAUUUAUUUUACAAGUGUAAAUUACAGAUGAACACUUGAAACCUGCCUGGAAUCAAAACGACGGGAUGAGCUCCGUAUUUUAUACCGGCCAGAAACAAGGAGAAACGCUAAUCCAAACGCGACCUAAAGCAAGAAUUACAUUGAACUUCAAAUAAGAAACACGGACUUUCCUUAUUCAAAAUGGAAGUAAUUUCCAACGGAAAUAACAGCCCUACAAAUUCAAAUAAGAAACACCAAGGAAAAAAAGCUAAAGGGUGGCGGUCGGCACCGCGCCAAGCGUCCAAAGUCCUAAGUCUAAGUCGCGCAUAUAUUCGCGAGCGCACGCGCUAUAUAUGUACAUCUCUAUGUGUGCCCAUAGCACAACCUUCUUCUCAUUAUGUGGUUCUAGCAUUUUGUACACAAAUGAAAGUCACCCUUAUAAGUUGGUCCGCCCACCCUUGGCUCACCGAGGUGGGACUAAACUUUUGUUCCAUGUAGAGAUACUACUGGUUCUGUGUAGGCUCAGACAUGGAAUAGGUGGGCUAAAAUACAAAUGAUGCAUACGGUCUUGGGCUUCAUGCAACCAGAUGGGAAGAAUUGUUGAAUGCGAUGGGUUCCAUUAAAAUUGCUCUAGUUUCAUAACAUAAGCUAAACGUGAGACCACCUGAUGUCUACAUCCCCUAAAAAAAGAUAUACAAGCCAAAAAAGUUAUCAAAAAAAUGACACUAUAAUUUAUUACAGAAAUUUUGAGAAUAGAUAGGUCAUUGAUCGAUGCUGAAAAUUUCAUUGGUUAUUUUUUUAACAGUACAUAAGAUGCAUUUAAAUUUCUUUGCUUUAAACUAUUUUUACACACAUACCACCAGAUAUCUAUUAUAUAAGGAGGAAGAAUGUACCUGCUGUUAUUAAGAUAUUAACAUGUUGAAUGGUGCACCCGACCCAUAUAAAUGUCAAUUCCGAUAUUGUACCCUAAGCAUACAAAAAUACUAAUCGAUCCAAUCUAGUACUCCCUCCGUCCUAUAAAAUAAGAGCGUUAUUUAUCAUCAACGUUUUUUUACAUCACCCUAGUGUUAAAAAUGUUCUUAUAUUAUGGCCUAUGGGGCAGAGGAAGUAUAUCAGAGGCAUGUGUUCAAACCAAAAAGGCAUCUUCAACAUAUCAAUUCCACUGAAUAUCACAUUCUCAAAAGGCCAUGAAAAUUCUUUAGUGAGGGAGUUCCAGGAUACGCGUGUGCAUGUACCCCAACAAGAAAAUGUAUCUUCAACUUAUCACUUCUUCAUUAUAAACCACCCGAGAGUGCUUAAUUGCGUAGGUAUCCAGGAUCUCGAUGCGACUGCGAGAAAAUGAAUGGCCAGAUGACAAAAACUGGCAGCAUGUAAAGAUUUAUCAUCUGAGUUGCAUGUUUCCAAGGCACAUCAAUAUGGUCAACAAUGAUCCAGAAAAUUAAGAGCUCAUGAUAAACAAUGACAAAAGCAUAUACAUAAAUCAUGGUCAUCCCAAUAUAUAUCAAGGUCUAAGGCAUCUUUACAUGUCACUCUUGCUAAAGAACCCAUUGCAUUGCAAAGCCCAUGGUUGGGGACAACAUACAUAAACAAGGAACCUCCAACAGUUGGGUAACCACAACUAACCAGCAAAAAAUCGACCAAAGCGAAGCUACCAGGCAACAAACGUCCCAAGAAUACAGGUCAGAUGUAUCAUGACCGAACCAAGCGAAGUAGCUACAGAACAAUAUCAUGGCGCAGUUCAGCAACAACCAACCAACAAGAACAUCACACAUCGCGCAUAGCAUGAUGUCCAUCGUCGUGCAAUUUUGUUUAGUCCAUCUGAGAUUUUGCAAUUUUGUAACCCAGCCAACCAAGGCUCCAGGGGGGUAGUUUUCUAGUAACAACAUCGUCGUCAUCAUGCUCAAUGGCACCAACACCAUUGCCACUCAUCUUAAACACAAAAAAUGCAACACAUCACAAAUACUAGAAUCUAGAACAGCCCCUUGUGAAUCUGUACAUGUAUAGUAGCAUCAAACAAAUGACACUAUAAUUCCUUGUGAGCAUCAUUUACAUAUUCUUAAAACUCUGCAUGACAGAAAGCAACAACUUGAGAGCAACACCCCUACAUAGAAACAGACUCUACAUGCAAAAUUUAUGUUCCGACAUAUUUGGAUUGCAGAUGCUCAAGCUUAGACUUUCUGUUGAAUCUCUCCCUAACCAUUAGAAUAGUGAUUUGUAGUAUAACUUAAGAACGAUCAAGUUAAAAUGUAAAAAGAUUGCUAAAGCCACAUUAUAUCGAAAAACUAUGGCCUUGUUCAAAACAUCCAGUUGAAGCUAGCAAAAUAAGACAAGAGAUCACUCGGAUAUCUGGACAUCAUGAUAUGAACUUACUGUCAAUGGAUUGACCACAACAACCAUUGUAGAUAUGGUGCCUAGUAAUUCAGGGCAUAACCAGAACCCUAUAACUAACACUAAGCAAUGUAUACCAAUAGCACACCAUAUCUUAUUGGCUGCACAAUAAAUGAGAAAUCACAUCACUGCCGAUGCUGUUGGAUCAAGCAAUCUACUACCGAUGCUAUCUUUGGGACUUGCGAGAGAGCCCACUGAAAGUGCAACUAUCCCUAGGUGGUUUUGGUAAAUCAUAACAACAUAUAGCUCAUUGAGCUAAUGCUAUUCCAAGACUAUUAUUUCAGGAAAGCUCAAUGAAUGGCAUGGCAUGGAUGAUGAAAGUGGAUCCCUCAAAAUAUCAAGGACAAAGGAUUGGCUCAAGCUCAAAAGCUCAAGACUCUUCAUUUUACAUUUUAGUGAUCCAAGAUCACAUUGAGUCUAUAGGAAAAGCCAAUACUUUCAAGGAGGGAUGAGGUGUUGCUUAAUGAGCCUCUUGCUUCAAGUGCUUAGUGAUAUGCUCCAAAUACCCUCAACUACUUUCUCACAUCCUCAUAUGACCUAAACCUAAAGUCAAAAUCGGUCACACCGAUUCUUUCUAUCCAGCGCCACCGAGUUCAAAUGUCAUAGCCACUGCCACAAACCCUAGGCAAAUCGGUCUCACCGAUAGGGAUCUCGGUCUCACCGAGAUGGGAUUGUAAUCUCUCUGUUUCCCUUCGUAACGUUUCGGUCUAACCGAAGUGAGCGAUCGGUCCCACUGAGAUUGCAAUGUAAACUCUUUGUUUCCUUUUCGUGACAUUUCGAUCUCACCGAAAAGAGCAAAUCGGUCCCACCGAGUUUACCUGACCAACUCUCUGGUUAGCUAAUUACCAAAAUCGGUCUCACCGAGUUUGUGUAAUCGGUCUCACCGAGAUUACGUUAUGCCCUAACCCUAACAAUAUCGGUCCUACCGAGUUGCAUUUCGGUCCCACCAAAAAUCCUAACGGUCACUAGGUUUACUAAAUCGUUCUGACCGAGUUUGUUGAUUCGGUCCCACCGAGAUUGGUAAAUUGUGUGUAACGGUUAGAUUUUGUGUGGAGGCUAUAUAUACCCCUGCACCUUAUCUUCAUUCAUGGAGGGAGCCAUCAGAAAAAACCUACACUUCCAACUUACCAGUUCUGAGAAAGAACCACCUACUCAUGUGUUGAGGCCAAGAUAUUCCAUUCCUACCAUAUGAAUCUUGAUCUCUAGCCUUCCCCAAGUUGCUUUCCACUCAAAUCUUCUUUCCACCAGAUCCAAAUCCUAUGAGAGAGAGUUGAGUGUUGGGGAGACUAUCAUUUGAAGCACAAGAGCAAGGAGUUCAUCAGCAACGCACCAUUUGUUACUUCUUGGAGAGUGGUGUCUCCUAGAUUGGCUAGGUGUCACUUGGGAGCCUCCGACAAGAUUGUGGAGUUGAACCAAGGAGUUUGUAAGGGCAAGGAGAUCGCCUACUUCGUGAAGAUCUACCGCUAGUGAGGCAAGUCCUUCGUGGGCGAUGGCCAUGGUGGGAUAGACAAGGUUGCUUCUUCGUGGACCCUUUGUGGGUGGAGCCCUCCGUGGACUCGCACAACCGUUACCCUUCGUGGGUUGAAGUCUCCAUCAAUGUGGAUGUACGAUAGCACCACCUAUCGGAACCACGACAAAAACAUUCGUGUCUCCAAUUGCGUUUGAAUCCUCCAAACCCUUCCCUUUACUUUCUUGCAAGUUGCAUGCUUUAAUUCUGCUGCCUAUAUACUCUUUGCAUGCUUGCUUGAAUUGCGUGAUGAUUGCUUGACUUGUCCAAAGAUUGCUAAAAUCUGCCAAACUCUAAAACUGGGAAAAGGUUAAGUUUUUAAUUGGUCAAGUAGUCUAAUCACCCCCCCUCUAGACAUACUUCAAGGUCCUACAAGUGGUAUCAGAGCUUUGGUCUCCAUUUGCUUUGAUUUCCAUAGCUUUUGGUGGUCAUAGCCUUGGUUUCACAACCUAGGAGAGUAUGGCGUCUAGCGAGGGAAAUUAUCACCGUAGAGGUCCUUACUUUGAUGGCACUAAUUUUGCUAGUUGGAAGCAUAAGAUGAAAAUGCAUAUUCUCGGACAUAACCCCGCCGUUUGGGCUAUUGUUUGCAUUGGCUUGCAAGGUGAAUUCUUUGAUGGGAGAGAACCGAAGCGUGAAGCUAGUGCGGAUGAAUUGAAGAUACUGCAAUACAACGCUCAAGCUUGUGAUAUCCUCUUCAACGGUCUAUGCCCUGAAGAAUUCAACAAAAUCAGCCGUCUUGAGAAUGCAAAGGAAAUUUGGGACACUUUGAUUGAUAUGCAUGAAGGUACCGACUCCGUCAAGGAAUGCAAGUUGGAUGUGCUCCAAAGUCAGCUUGACAAGUUCAAAAUGAAGGAUGGUGAAGGUGUCGCUGAAAUGUACUCUAGGCUUGCUCUUAUCACAAAUGAGAUUGCCGGCUUAGGAAGUGAAGAGAUGACCGACAGAUUCAUCAUCAAGAAAAUCCUAAGAGCAUUGGAUGGAAAAUAUGAUACCGUGUGCACAUUGAUUCAAAUGAUGCCCAAUUACAAGAAUCUCAAGCCAACGGAGGUCAUUGGUAGAAUUGUUUCUCAUGAGAUGUCACUCAAGGAUAAGGAGGAACUUCACAAAAAGUCAAGUGGUCCUUACAAAGCCUCAUGUGAAUCCCCCACAUCAUCAAGUGAGAAACGAACCUUCAAUGAAGAAUUGAUCUUAAUGGUGAAGAAUUUCAACAAAUUCUACAAGAGUAGAAGCACAGAAAGAAGCUCUAAGUCAAGGUCCUACAAUGAAAAAAGAUCUUCCAGUCGAGAGAGCAAUUGCUACAAUUGUGGGAGACCCGGACACUAUUCCAAUGAGUGUACGGCACCCUACAAAAGAAGAGAAGAUUCUCCAAAAAGAAGAAGUAGAAGAGAAGAAUCACCACCAAGAGAGAGGAGGAGUAGAGAUGAUCGUUAUGAACGAAGAACAUCCCGGAGAAGCAAGGUUUCGGAAAGGAAUGACAAGUCAUCAAAGAGCUACACAAAACGAAGACAUCAAGCUCAUGUUGGUGAAUGGGUAUCCAGUUCCAACUCUGAACAUCACUCCGAGAGAAGCUAUCACUCCGACUCCGAACAUACUCAAGAUGAAGGUGUUUUCGGUCUAGCACUUGUGUCAACCAACUCCUACGACAUAUUUGAAUCACCAAAUGAAGGAAUUGGAAGAUGCUUCAUGGCUAAAGGCCCUAAGGUAACUCAUCCCGAGUAUGUUGAUUUCAAUAGUGAUGAAGAUGACUUGCUAGGUGAUGAUGAUUUACUUAUUGACAACUCUAGUGAUGAAUACUAUGAUGAAACGUCAAUUAAUCAUGCUAAACAAGAUAAAACAAAUGGCAAUGAUAAGGAUAAGAUUGAGCUUCUAACUAAAUAACUAAACACUCUUAAGUUAUCUCAUGAAACUAUCUUCGAAAAUCAUCGAGAACUUUUAAGGGCUCAUGAGAAGUUACGCUUUGAAAAGCUCAAUCUUGAGCAAGAGCAUGAGUUCUUAAAGGCAAUCAAUGAUGAUCUUCGCAAGAAAAGUUCUUCUUAUAUUGCCAAGCGUUUACUCUUAUCUACUUACAUGCCUCAAGUCAAGUCUAGUAACAAGAACAAGAAAGAUUCUUCCUCUAGUAGUAACAAUAACAAUGCUAAAUCCAAUAUUGUUGCUUCUAGUAGUUCUCUUGAUUCCACUAAUGAUUCUCUUAGACAAGUUACACUUGAGCAAGAAAAUAGCUUAUUGAAGGGAAUUAUAGAGAAAGGUCUAUACAAGAGCCUUGCCAGGAGUAAGCAAUACAAAGAAAUUGUACGCAAGCAAGGAAGGCACCGGAAGAAUCAAGGUGUUGGUUUUGAACGAAAGUUCAAUGCCAAUGGAGUUGAGUGGGUAGAAGAUCAAUACCCUAAGACGAAGUUUGUUCCUCAACAAGAGAAGUAUGAUCCCACUUCCUUCAAGGGAACACAAGCACAAGAUGAUCUUCCACCACAAUACCACAAGAACAAAGGCAAGGACAAGCUUCGAGAGGAGAUUGAUGCAUUUGAAGAAGAACCUAAGGCCUUGGUCAAGUGGGUUCCCAAGACUACGUCAAGUUCUACUUCAUCAAGCACAACUACUACACCAAGGAUUCCCAUCAAGAUGAUGUGGAUCCCGAAGAAGAAUAACUAGAGAGUUCUUGAGGGUGACUCUGCCAACAUUCUUCACUCAUAUCAUUAUGGCGAGGACAAGUGCAAUCAACUUCCACAUCUUGCACUAGUUCAAGGAGUCACAAACCCUCAUGUUGGUAAGGCAAGGGACAAGGUAACCUAAUGUUUUCAUGGACAUCAUUUUGUGUGUGCAUCACUCUAUGUCUAUGGAUAUUCUUGUUUGUUCCUUGUGGGACUAACCCGUGUAGGUAUUGAAAGUGCAACUCACUCCAAAGGAUUGCUCCAAAAUAUCUACAUCAACAUUGAGCAUCCACAUCUUUAACACCUACAUGAAGUCAUCAUCGACAAAACCCAAGGUUAGUUUAUCCCUCUAAGGGGGGAUCUCACAUCUAGGGGGAGCUUAACUCUAAGAAUUGAGUCAAAGCAACUCUAAUGAUGUGAACACAUCAAUGCAUUAUGUAAAAGUGGUAACCCCACUUGAGCUUAAACGAUGAGUAUGACCUAUGACCAAAUGUUAUCAUUUGACUCCUAAGUCAAUAUACUCAUAUAUAGAUGACCUAGUCAUCGCCAAUUGUUUGAUAGAUGCUAGAAUUGGUUGUGCAUACUUUGUCACAUAUUUCAUUUGUCAUUUUAGUGUGUGAGCAUGUUGGAAGCAUAUUUUACUCAUUCGAGGACAUCCACUUGUUGUUUUGAUUGAUUGGCUUCUUUUUCUUUGGCCAAGUGGAUGGACAAGAAUGCCUAAUAACCUUCUCUAGCUAUCUAUGCUUUUCUUGUCUCAAACUCUAUUCAUGCUACAUCACAAAAUUUGAUCAAGUCAGAUUCGAACCACUCUGUGUGAGGAGCACUCGGAGUCCCCGAUUCAUCAUAGACUUAAAGUUCCAAAACUUCUUUGUGAUUUUUGGUCUGACCGAUUCCUCCAUUUCGGUCAUACCGAGAUCACUAAGUCGAUCUAGGUUUUCAAUCUCGGUGCAACUGAUUUGAACUUUUCGGUCACACUGAGUUGUUGUAACUGUAUACAGUUAUGCAUCUCGGUGCCACCAAGUUGUUCCACUCAGUCACACCGACAGUGUCGGGCUAUAUAUACUCACGGAAAAUUUUGGAAAACUUUCUCAGAAACUCCUCGCCCGCGCAUAGCUCGCUCCGCCUACUAGGUCUACGGAUUGUCGACUUCGUCGCCAGCCACCUACUGUCGCUGGUCUCCGCCGCCGUCAACGGAAUUCUUCUCCACCCUUGCCGCCGUAGCGAGUUCAUCGCCAAGCUAGGGUAUGAACUCGAUCAUAGUGCUAUCCUCGUCUGAUUCUCAGCACAUUGUGUUCGUAAUGCAUCUUGCCACGAUUGUAACACUCCUAUCCAGUCGAUACGAUCCUUAGAAUAGAUGUGAUUCGAAAAUUUAGGGUUAGGUUUCCGCCGAAACAAUCUUGGACCCACCGAGUUGAAAAACUCGGUCCCACCGAUUUGGCUAACGCCAUUACACUAGGAAGUCUCGGUCUGACCGAGAAUUACAAAUCGGUGUGACCGAUUUUAAAACUUUGUGAAACCCUAGCAGUCUCGGUGCCACCGAACUGUGACUCGGUCUGACCGAGUUCACUAGUUUAGGUUCCAAAACUGCUUCGGAAUCACCGAGUUUGAAAAUCGCUAGAUCCGAAAUGCUUUCUGUGGAAAACUAAAACUAAGUUUUUUGAAUCAUUCUUUUGCAAAAAUCUCUGCAUUUUGUGAUGCUCAUCCACUCUAUAUCAUCUAUAACUAUUCACAGGGUCAGCGGUCAGUGUGUGCAGCAUGUCAGACCAAAGUGAUAGUCAGAACAAGUCAGCAGAGCAGAUUCACAUGAGUGAGGGCACUAGUCCCUCAAGUUCUUCAGAUGAAGGCAGCAGAAGUACUCCUAGCAAUUUGCCCAAAGCAGCCACAAGAGAAAGAAGGAAGAGAACCUCAGACUCAGAGGAUGAGGACUAUGUGGCAGCUGAAGAUGAGGCUACUUCCAAGAAGUUAGUGCUCAAGAGGGAGUACAGCUCAACUGCAGUAAAGCCAGGCAUGAAGAUCAAAAGGCCUGCAGGAAGACAUCCAAUGUCCAAAGCCAGAGGAUCAACUCAAGUACCUGAAAAGCCUGAUCCCAAAGAGCCAGCUGCAGAAGGAAAGAAAAGGAAGGAAAGGGUCAAGAAGACCAUGGCCCGAGUUGUUGGUUAACCUUCCAUGAUGGAAGAGGGAGAAGAGGUUGCUGAACCAGCACCCACGACACAAAAGCUGAUGGGUGAUGCUAUAAAGUCAGGGGCUGCAACAUCAAAGCCCAAAGAAGCACCCAAAGCUGCCCCCAAGCUCAAGAUUGCACCAAAGAGGAAUACCAGGAGUAUACCAGCAGCUGAGAAGAACAAGGCCCCAAUGCCUGAAGUUGCUGCUGAGGAAGAUGAAGAAGGGCAGAUCUUAAGGAAGCUCAAACCCAAGAUUCCAGACCACAACGAUGCUCAUCCAGUGGCUGAAAAUAUGAAGCUAAGGAAGGAUGCAGGGUUGAGGCUAUGGAGAUUGACAUAUCCAUAUGCCACAAGGAGGAGGACUGCUGUAGAUUACAGGUUCCAUACCAAGGAGCAGCGGGACUUCUAUGAGACAAUCUUGUUGGACAAGAAGCCCAUAGUGUGUGAUAUGAGGUGGGUCGACUGGACCUACAUGAAGGAAAAUGAAGAACACUAUCCUGGAGUGCAAGACAGUUUUGUUGCUUGUGGAGUUGCAGAUUUUGUUGGGCAGAAGCUCACCAACUGGAAUGAUGAACUCAUUAUGCAAUUCUACUCCACAGCACAUUUCUAUCCAGAUGGGAGGAUAAUUUUGAUGUCUGAAGGAACAAGAUACCAGUCAACCAAAGAGGAAUGGGCCAAUCUGAUCAAUGCCCCAAAGGAGAGUGAAUAUGACUUGGACAUUUAUGCCAAGAAGAAAAUGGAUCAUAAGUCAAUGUCACAUAUGUGCAAGGAGAUCCCUGAUGAAGCACUUGAGAUUUUCAAGUUUGGAUCAGUUCAUUUUCUUCUGUCAGGGCUGCCUACGAUCAACUAGAUCUUAAGGCACACUCUUUUGCCCAAAUCAGGUGACCACAACAUGAUUAGAGGGCAUGCUAUUAACUUGCUUCACAUAUAUGAUGUGCCCCAGAAAUUCAAGGUCAUGAGCCUUAUGGUUGAAACUAUCAAGAGGACUGCAGCAGACCAAAAGAGGAGUUGUGGAUAUGCCCCACAAAUUCAGGAGUUGAUUAACUCAAAGAUGGGCACAGGAAAAUAUCAGUUGGAUAAAGAAAUUUUUUCUCUCUAUCCAGACUUUGAGGACAAUGAAGUUGUCAUGAAUGAGAAUGAACCAUCAUCAGUGCAAGCUGAAGAGAAGAAGGAGAAAGCAAGGAAAGAGAAGGCUGCCAAGAUGCCAACUCAAGAGGAGACAUCUGAGUACUUUUUGAAGAACAAGCAGGAGAAGCUUGGUUACUUGAUAGCAUCAACUCUGCGGAUUGAGAAAGGAUUGGCCACCCUAACUCAAACCAGGAGAGCCUGGAAAGAAUCAUGGAACAAAAAUUCUAUGAUCUAGAUGUCAAAGUAACUGAGAUUCAGUUAGUUGUGGAACAGCUUCAGGAUGACAUGCAGGAGAGGAAGGGCAAGACAACCACUGAUGCAUUUGCCAGAGUGCCUAGAGCUCAGAGGUCAGCUGCAGUGCCUGUGACAGACACAAGAGCCACAUCAUCUGCACCAGCUACAACUCCUACAGCUCCAGUGCAACCAGCUCCAGCACCAACUCCUCCAGCUCCAUCUACAUCAACUGAAGUCUUCGUCCAAGGAGCCAUCUCUACACCACCAACAGAAGACCAAGCCUGAGAGUCGAUCUAGCACUAUGCAUUUUCUAUGAACUUUUUGAUAACUUGUUGCCAAAGGGGGAGAAAAAUGUAUAGAUCAUAGGCUUCGAGAGAGAGUGUGUUGCUUUUGUUCUCUCUUGCUUUAGUGGUUAAACUUUGUUUGCUUUUGAUUGCUUGAGAUACUAUGCAAUUACCUGUGAGAUAUUGAUGAUCAUGUGUUUGAUCGUAAGCUACACUUAUGCUAGUUAUAUGAUAUUAUCUUACCUAUCCUUAUAUGAUCAUUCACUUUGAUUGGUGAUGAGUGCAUGUAUUCAAUCUUUAUUAUUUUGAGCGCUCCAUCAAGAUGUAUGUGACAUGGAAGAGUAACCCAUGAGCCUAAUUCCUUGUGCAUUUGCAGUCCAAAGCAAAUCUUAAAAUAUGCACAAAUUUAGGGGGAGCUCUUUCUUAUCACAUACUUCUCAAAGCGACGAUGUUUUUCAAUCUUAUUAUCAUUUGUCGAAGCUUUGAUCUAUAUGUUGUCAUCAAUUACCAAAAAGGGGGAGAUUGAAAGUGCAACUAUCCCUAGGUGGUUUUGGUAAUUCAUAACAACAUAUAGCUCAUUGAGCUAAUGCUAUUCCAAGACUAUUAUUUCAGGAAAGCUCAAUGAAUGGCAUGUCAUGGAUGAUGAAAGUGGAUCCCUCGGAAUAUCAAGGACAAAGGAUUGGCUCAAGCUCAAAAGCUCAAGACUCUUCAUUUUACAUUUUAGUGAUCCAAGAUCACAUUGAGUCUAUAGGAAAAUCCAAUACUAUCAAGGAGGGAUGAGGUGUUGCUUAAUGAGCCUCUUGCUUCAAGUGCUUAGUGAUAUGCUCCAAAUACCCACAACUACUUUCUCACAUCCUCAUAUGACCUAAACCUAAAGUCAAAAUCGGUCACACCGAUUCUUUCUAACCCGCACCACCGAGUUCAAAUGUCAUAGCCACUGCCACAAACCCUAGGCAAAUCGGUCUGAUCGAUAGGGAUCUCGGUCUCACCGAGAUGGGAUUGUAAUCUCUCUGUUUCCCUUCGUAACGUUUCGGUCUAACCGAAGUGAGCGAUCGGUCCCACUGAGAUUGCAAUGUAAACUCUUUGUUUCCUUUUCGUGACAUUUCGAUCUCACCGAAAAGAGCAAAUCGGUCCCACCGAGUUUACCUGACCAACUCUCUGGUUAGCUAAUUACCAAAAUCGGUCUCACCGAGUUUGUGUAAUCGGUCUCACCGAGAUUACGUUAUGCCCUAACCCUAACAAUAUCGGUCCUACCGAGUUGCAUUUCGGUCCCACCAAAAAUCCUAACGGUCACUAGGUUUACUAAAUCGUUCUGACCGAGUUUGUUGAUUCGGUCCCACCGAGAUUGGUAAAUUGUGUGUAACGGUUAGAUUUUGUGUGGAGGCUAUAUAUACCCCUGCACCUUCUCUUCAUUCAUGGAGAGAGCCAUCAGAAAAAACCUACACUUCCAACUUACCAGUUCUGAGAAAGAACCACCUACUCAUGUGUUGAGGCCAAGAUAUUCCAUUCCUACCAUAUGAAUCUUGAUCUCUAGCCUUCCCCAAGUUGCUUUCCACUCAAAUCUUCUUUCCACCAGAUCCAAAUCCUAUGAGAGAGAGUUGGGUGUUGGGGAGACUAUCAUUUGAAGCACAAGAGCAAGGAGUUCAUCAUCAACGCACCAUUUGUUACUUCUUGGAGAGUGGUGUCUCCUAGAUUGGCUAGGUGUCACUUGGGAGCCUCCGACAAGAUUGUGGAGUUGAACCAAAGAGUUUGUAAGGGCAAGGAGAUCGCCUACUUCGUGAAGAUCUACCGCUAGUGAGGCAAGUCCUUUGUGGGCGACGGCCAUGGUGGGAUAGACAAGGUUGCUUCUUCGUGGACCCUUCGUGGGUGGAGCCCUCCGUGGGCUUGCGCAACCGUUACCCUUCGUGGGUUGAAGUUUCCAUCAACGUGGAUGUACGAUAGCACCACCUAUCGGAACCACGACAAAAACAUCCGUGUCUCCAAUUGCGUUUGAAUCCUCCAAACCCUUCCCUUUACUUUCUUGCAAGUUGCAUGCUUUAAUUUUUGCUGCCUAUAUACUCUUUGCAUGCUUGAUUGAAUUGCGUGAUGAUUGCUUGACUUGUCCAAAGAUUGCUAAAAUCUGCAAAACUCUAAAACUGGGAAAAGGUUAAGUUUUUAAUUGGUCAAGUAGUCUAAUCACCCCCCUCUAGACAUACUUCAAGGUCCUACACCCACCAUCCCCUGCUACCCGGCCUACGUUGUAGGUUUUUCCACAAGGAGGCUUGCUACAAACAGAGGCUAUAUAGUAUGACAACAUUACCUUAACACAAUGAGAGAAAGUUUCCAACUUAUAAAAGUGCCUUAGUAAGCGUGUAUAUGCAGGCUGACAGCCUAACAGGGUCUGUUGUUUACAUGACACAGUUUGAAUGUGAGGAAAUGUGUAACACUUAUAAAGGAGUAAAAAAAAUACUCUUAUAUUUUCUUAGCUGACACCAGGAACCCUAUAACCAACCAUGGCAUGGGCAUAUAGAGGAUCUACCGAGACAGCUUUGAGCUAUACAAGCCGUACUAACAGGCAAGAAUAUCAAAGUUUCAAAAGUCACCCAGACAAGAUCUGCCAAUUUGUUACUCCCUCUGUCCCAUAAUAUAAGAACGUUUUCCAAGCUAAAAUAGUUUGAAAAACGUUCUUAUAUUAUGGGACGGAGGGAGUAGCAACUUAUGAGACCAAAACGAGUCCAGAGUAAACUGCAUUCAAGCUAAACAAACUGGAAAUUUUGUUCCAAAGCUUAAUUCAGGCCACAUGUGAGAUUUGUUGGGCGAACUUUUUUAAGACAAAAUGCAGCAAAGCAACCAAGACCUUGGCUUAAUUUUUUUGUGUUUUCGCCAUGAAGAGAGUUCCCUUUCACUACAACAAUUAUAACUUCAAAAUAGAAGCCAAAGCAUUUCCAAGACAAAUGGUGCCAUUUCCCAUACUCUUAUCAGCUUAAGGUCAUCAACUUAAUCCAGAAUUAGUUCAUACACAGUAUUAUGAAGCCUUCAUCUACAAUAUCCAGAAUUAGUUCAUACAGAAGAAAAUGCUACUGGUUAAUAUCUUACCAGCCCAUGCCAACCAAGAAGAAGUCUUACCAGCUAGCUAGUGCUGGUGAAUAGUUUUAAUACAAAAAAUGAGAACACAUAAAAUCUGGUGUAGUCACAUAUUUGGAUUUAAGAUGCUCAAGUUGAGAAUUUAUGUUGAGUCUGCCAUUACCAUUAAAAUGCUGUGUACUAUAACUUACAAGCGUACGAGCUAAAAUGUAAAAAGAAGUUACUAAAUUGAAAGACUAUGGCCUUGUUCAACACAUGCAGUUGAAGAAAGCUAAAAUAAAACAAGAGGUCACCCGGAUAUCUUGGAUAUCUAGUCACACUUACAACAAUUCCUCAAAGUACGCGAUCUAUUAAAAUGAACUCAUGAUUGUGCAAUUCAACAUAUAUUCUUGCAUGUGAGAGCCCUAAGGCUGACACUGAGACACAUGAUAGUGCGAUGGAUAGCAUUACAAUAGCAGAUGGGCAAAUUCAUUAAUGAUACCAUCGCAAUCACACGAUUGUGAUGGUUGGAAGACCACCACCACAAAUAGCAAGAUCACAUAACCGAGCUCUCCAUUUAGAUCGAUGGUCAGGAUGACAAUCAACCGCAACUCAAUGGACGCACAAUCUAAGGGCACACAUCAGAGAGGGGGCCAGGAACUCACCAGAAUCGAGGAAGAGAUGUCGACCAGUAUGGUGGGGCUGUCAUCAUGCUGUCGGGAAAUCCGAAGUAGUGGCCGAGGAGGAGGUAGUCCAAUGCAGUUGAAGUAGCCGUACACAGAGGUUACACCGCAACCAAUGCCAUCCAAUCGGUUUUGACGCCCGGCACGAAGGGGCAUGUCAAUGACCAUUAAGUCACCACCCCACCAAAGCCACACCAUGGUGUGGGGGCCAGGGCCCAGUGGCGCAUGCAGAGGCGCACGGUGAGUCAUUGAAUCUAAUGGAACCAUUUCACUGAAAACAACACACAAAGAAAAAGCUAUGUCAAGUUGACAUGAAUAACAAAAACUGUGCAAGCACACUUGCAUGCUAACCAAGUUAUUUUGCUAAAAUGUAGUUAAUAAAAAGAACAGGAAUGAGUCACGAUAGUACCCAUGUAGUUUGCAACACACGGAUACAUGCAUGCUAGCUGGGCAUCAAGAUGCAAAGCACUGUACUGAGACACUAACAUAAGCACAUAAAACAAACCUGUCCACUUAUUGCCACCAGAAACAAUCAUCCUUCAAUACUACUCAGAGGAUUUAUGUAUCUAAGAAACUCAGUCACAUUGUGAAAAAAAAUCCAACCAAAAGUAGAAGAAAUCGCAAAAAAAGAGAAAGGGAUGUGAGACAACAAAGUUGCUCCUACAAACUGCACAUAUUAAUCAACUUCUAAAGCUAUUUUCCAAUUGAAGUAUCAAAAAGGAAAGGAACAUGUCAUUUUCUGGGAACUCUAAACGGUUAGCCAAAUAAAGAGAUGAUGUUUAAUAUAUAUGAAUGCAAAUGAAAAGAGGAUGUAUACCACAUAAAUCCUACAUGCUCAAAUGUUCUACAUUGUUUGGAUCAACAGAGAGAGGAAAUGAUUGUCACCUGAACAGCAAGCAGACUGGUGCAUGUGGAGGCGAUGCAAACACGGCGGAGGAAGCUCCCUCAUCCUAUCCCAGCACAUGGUUGUGGAGGAGGUGGGCUUGGUCUUGGGCGACGAUGUUCACCUCGAGCGCCUUCUAAGAAGGCUCGUCCUUGUGGAGCACGGUGGUGGCAUUCUUCGAUGUGGCAUCAAGUAAGCUCCCGUUGGGAUAAUAUUUAGCUUUUAAUACCCUUGCCAGCAAAGAAUCCGGGUCAGUUAUGAGUCGCCAACUCUGUUUCACGAAUAAAACUAAGUUGAAAGAGUAGAGGUCAUGGAAUCCCAUACCUCCUUCACUCUUCGGAAUACAAAGCAUCCACCAUAUCAUCCACUGCAUCUUCCUAUGUUUUUCAUCAUCACUCCACCAUGAGGAAUAGCAUCCAUGAUUUCUUUGCAGAUCCCCUUGGGUAUACUAAACACAUAAUUUCUAUACCUAAUAAUAAUUAUUAUUAUAAAAGAUGGUGCGUUUCUCUGGUUUUUUGGUCCGUUCACCCAUAUAACUAUUUUUGAGAUUUUUUUCCAUGCAAGGUAGUACUAAAUAUUUCACGCCUCCAUCCUUCCACUUCUACCUCAAUCUUAUGUUUGGUUUGUACAUCACUACACCUUCGAUAGCUGCCUGGUCCUGAGCCCAUCGAACCUAUCAGCUGGCCCGGCUCCAUUGGGGCCUAGUAACCCGGUAGUGUAGGCAAUAAAAUAGGCAACAUUGUGAGGUGUCAAACUCAAGACCCGUAGUCCAGUCCGAAAGGGUACAAACCUGUUGAGCUACUUAUUGUUGUGCGUUAAACAAGAAAUAUGCUCAUAUAAUAAAUAGUACCACCUCACUAACUUAUACACCACCCAAGCAAUUUAUAUACGUCCAUGAUGUAUUUCAGUAAGCCGCCUCAAGGAUUAAAGUAUAUGAUCAAGAGUGGUCCAUUUGCUUAUAAAAUAUGAGCACAUGAAGGAAAGAAAUUAAAGGAAGACCAAGAAGAAAAUAACUAAAAGAAGAAAUAAGUGCCUCUAUGGUUGCAUGGGUCGGAUGAGCGAUAGAAAGAAAUUAAUGCGUGUGUGCAGAGAAAGAAAACAAACUAUAGAAAUAAAUAAAUAAAUAUGUUUGUAUAGAGAAAGGGGAUUAAAAGAAUUGAGGAGAUUAUAAGAGCAUGGUUAAUGAUAUAGCCAAGAGCAGGAUAUAUUGGGUUGUCAUGUCAUUAUAGUCAACCUAAUAUCACACGCAUACAAUAGUUAGUCAUACUAAUAUGUACUACCAUUAAUGCAUGUUACACAUCUUUAUCUCACAAGCGUUGUUGGGGCUUGUGUUACAAGCCGGCUGUAAGCUUGUAACCUGCUUCUCUUCUCUCCCCUCUGCUCUCUCCUCCAACUAGGAAUAAAUUUAACAUGGCAGCUCUUAUAGCCUGCAUUCUUUAACAUUACAUUAUUUUAAGUGGGCUCAAUGUCCAGGUGUGAAAACUCUAGGUAUGACCUUCUUUGGUUAAACCUAGCAACUGUGUCAUUCACGAGAUGUUCCCAUGUUAAAGGCAUUGCAUGGAGUUUACCCAGACUCUAUUCCAUGACGAACACCCAUCAUCUUGCCUCAUUGCUUUGGUCUAGCGACAACGUCGCUCAUGCAUCAUUUCCUUUUUUGAGGCGUCGUUGUUGAAGUACCUAUCAUGUAACCUGGGGUUGCCAUCCUUGAAGGUUGUUGUUGUUUUUUGCCGCAGUCGUUCUGUUGGUUGAUUUUUUUGUAGUUAUUUACUUGUGUGAAUCCUCAAUCUCUUGAAUAAUGCUCGAGUUAUAUUGCUGUAGAGGGUGGGUGUAAUUGAUAUCUUCUCGAUAUUCAUAUAUUCCCUUUACAAAAAGAAUUGGACGCUAACACAUGGUGUCACUCAAACAUAGUAACUUUGAUAACUAAGGACAUGUACAGUUGUUCUAUUUUACAGCAUGUCCAACAGAUGCACAAUAAUAGUUAUCGUCCCCGAAAAACUAUCAUUUGGUUUUUUUUGAAGAAAAUCAGCUCCAACAGAUGCCUUAUAGGUAUGUGGUGCCUAAAACAUUUUAUAUCAAACACAAGCUUUCACUACAAGUGAGAGCAUUUCCAAAAGAUGACAAAAAGUUUAGUGCCCCAAAAAUAAUUUUAGGUGAGGAAAGAGAAGGUAUUUGGGCACCAUAAUAUAGUUUUUUUUUCUUUUCUUGAUGCUCUAAAAGUUGGGCAUUCUUCGUCUACCACACAAAUUUGAGCAUAUGCAAUUUUAGAAAAUAAUAUCAAAUUCAUUUCAAGUUAAACACAAAUAGUACUUAAUUAUUACGAGUUCAUCAUUCCGCAACCUCAAAUUCAACACAAUUAUUCAAACGUGACACAAAUUAAGAUCACCACAAAUGACAUGACACAUAGAGUAGGACUAGUGUCGUUGUUGCCCAAUCCACAUCCAUCACUCCUCGGUGAAAUGUUUUUCAAGAUCUUCAUGAGUAUCCACAUCUUGAAUUUCAUGAUGAACCACAAAGAACGCUUCAAAUUUGUCAUCUUUCUACGCGGACGGUGGUGGCAUGUGUAAUACGGAGCUAUGCAUGUAUGCACAUGUUUGUACUUGCCUCCAUCCACUAAUAAAAACAUACAAAAUGGAUUAGUUAUCUUAACCAAUAACUACGCAUUUGUAUGUUUAAGUAGUAUACAUACUAGUGGUGAAUCCAGGCUGCUUGAGAACGUUUUAGCCCUACUGUCGAUUUCAUCACUUUCCAUUACUCUCUCAUUCUUUAAUACUUUUCUUGUGUACUUUGAUUUCAAGUGACAACCCCUUGCAAUAUUUACACUUCCAUGUCACUUUUGCUUUGAACAACAAUUCAAUCACAUGCACAUUCUGGUAAAGCAUUACGAGAGGCAAAGACCAUUUCCUGUGUGCCAUUUAGGAAAAGGCUACAACUAAAUCAUAUGCAAUUGUAUUUUAUAGCAAUUAUUGAUCUCUCAUGCUUCACUUAUAUUAUUUUGAGAGUCUUUUAGAACAGCAUGGUAUUUUUGCUUUGGUUAUAAAAUUGGUCCUAAUAUGAUGGGCAUCCAAGAUAGGUAUAAUAAAAACUAUCAUAUAGAGUGCAUUAAACACUAUGAUCAAUUUGAUACUUGAUAAUUGUUUUGAGAUAUAAAGGUGGUAAUGAUAGAGUCAUUCUAGUUGGGUAAUUAUGAAAUUGAGAAAUACUUGUGUUAGAGUUGGCAAGUCCCGUAGCAUGCACGUAUGGUGAAUUGUUGUGUGAUAAAUUUGAAGCAUGGAGUGUUCUUUGAUUGCCUUCCUUAUGAGUGGAGGUCGGGAUAUCGUGAUGGUUAACUCCUACCAACCCUUCUCCUAGGAGCAUGCGUAGUAGUACUUUGCUUCGAGGGCUAAUAAACUUUUGCAAUAAGUAUAUGAGUUCUUUAUGACUAAUGUGAGUCCAUGGAUUAUACGCACUCUUAGCCUUCCACAAUUUGCUAGUCUCUACGGUACCGUGCAUUUCCCUUUCUCACCUUGAGAGUUGGUGCAAACUUCGCCAGUGCAUCCAAACCUCGUGAUACGAUACGCUCUAUCACACAUAAACCUCCUUAUAUCUUCCUCAAAACAGCCACCAUACCUACCUAUUAUGGCAUUUCCAUAGCCAUUUCGAGAUAUAUUGCCAUGAAACUUUCCAUGGUUCCGUUUAUUAUGACACGCUCCAUCAUUGUCAUAUUGAUUUUUGCAUGAUCAUGUAGUUAACAUCAUAUUUGUGGCAAACCACCUUUAUAAUUCUUUCAUACAUGUCGCUCUUGAUUCAUUGCAUAUCCCGGUACACCGCCGGAGGCAUUCACAUAGAGUCAUAUUUUUUCCUAAAUAUUGAGUUGUAAUUCUUGAGUUGUAAAUAAAUAAAAGUGUGAUGAUCUUCAUUAUUAGAGCAUUGUCCCAAGUGAGGAAAGGAUGAUGGAGACUAUGAUUCCCCCACAAGUCGGGAUGAGACUCCGGACUUUAUGAAAAAUAAAAGAGGCCAAAGAAGCCCAAAUAAAAAAAGAGGCCAAAGAAGCCCACCAAAAUAAAAAAAUAAAAAAAAGAAAAAAAAUGAGAGAAAAAGAGAGAAGGGACAAUGUUACUAUCCUUUUUCCACACUUGUGCUUCAAAGUAGCACCAUGAUCUUCAUGAUAGAGAGUCUCCUAUGUUGUCACUUUCAUAUACUAGUAGGAAUUUUUCAUUAUAGAACUUGGCUUGUAUAUUCCAAUGAUGGGCUUCCUCAAAAUGCCCUAGGUCUUCGUGAGCAAGCAAGUUGAAUGCACACCCACUUAGUUUCUUUUGGUGAGCUUGCAUACAUUUAUAGCUCUAGUGCAUCUGUUGCAUGGCAAUCCCUACUCCUCAUAUUGACAUCAAUUGAUGGGCAUCUCCAUAGCCCGUUGAUUAGCCGCGUCAAUGUGAGACUUUCUCCUUUUUCGUCUUCUCACACAGUCCCUAUCAUCAUACUCUACUCCACCCAUAGUGUUAUAUCCAUGGCUUACGCUCAUGUAUUGCGUGAGGGUUGAAAAAGCUGAAGCGCGUUAAAAAAUAUGAACCAAUUGCUUGGCUGAAACCGGGGUUGUGCAUGAUGGAAGUAUUUUGUGUGAUGAAAAUGAAGCAUGGCCAAACUAUAUGAUUUUGUAGGGAUAAGCUUUCUCUGGCUAUGAAAUAGAUAGUAGGGAAGAAAAUAGGGCAUGAAAUAAUUCACAUUUAUGUUGUCUAACCAAUCAGAAUAGCAGGACAUAAUUUCACAUAUAUGAUGGCUAAUUAAAUAGAAUAGCAUGACACAAUUUCACAUGUAUGAUGGCUAACUAAACAGGAUAGAAUGACAUACUUCAAAAUAUGAUGACUAUGUAAACGGGAUGACAUGAUAUAACUAUACGAUGUGUCUAUUAAAGUGAUUGGCAUGCCAUAAAUCACAAACAUGUCGUCGAUGAAAAUAUGAUGGCAUGACAUAAUUCACGGAUAGAAUGACAUAAUUUAAAAUAUGAUGACUAUGUAAACAGGAUGACAUGAUAUAACUAUAUUAUGUCUUUAGAAAAUGGGUUGGCAUGCCAUAAUUCAGAUACAUGUUGUCUAUGUAAACAACAUGGCAUUAUAUAAUUCAAAUAUAUGAUUUAUAUACUAAAGAAGUGAGCAGAGGGCAAUCGCAUAUAUGAUGUGUCAACUAAGGAGAUGGCAUUCAGUAUUGUGUAUAUGAUGUAAAAACUAAGCCUUGCAAUACAACAUAUGCAUGAUAUGAGUAAUAUAACCCUGCCAAGUUUGCGCAUACACCUCAGGGGGAUAAUAUGACUGGUCAUCUGCCUCUGAAUCCUCCUCUGAAGAGCUAUAUGUAACCAGCAAGAUAUCUGGUUCAGCAGGUAGCAUUGUCUGCUCUGAAGGCCUUGUUUUCACUCCAGAUUUCUCCAUCACCAAUUCAAAUAGCUGAUGCACAGGAAGAGCGGUUAAAUAUACAAACAUUGUCGACAAAAGCAAUGAGAAAUAUAAAAAAAGGUCGGCAUGAUAUAAUUCACAUAUAUGACGCUUGGCUAAACAGCAUGGCAUUGCAUAAUUCACAUAUAUAAUGCCUUGCAACAAGAUAACAUUGCACAAUUCGCAUAUAUAAUGUCUUGCAACAUGAUGACAUUGCAUAAUUCACAUAUAUGGUAAUUAGACACUAAAUGGGUGGCAUUCACACAAAGUAUGUCUAAACUAAGCAAAUGACAUAGCAAUGCAAGAUACCAUACGCACGAUAUGCACGUAUAUAUGAUGUACAAAGAUGGGCCAUGACCUCAACUAUACAAGAAACAAGGAGGUGGGCCAGAUACACAAAUAUACACAAAUAUGCACAUAACAUAUAUUGUACUAGUAGUACUUCACCGUUUUGGAACACCGGCGUCUGCGGAAUGGUUAGUGAGACCGGAUCUUUUUGCUCUGAAGUGGGAGGGUUCAUGAGGCAUAUCCGGACCUCCCACAGCAGUCAAAAUCAAGAAACAUUUCACUAACAUAUUGUUGUCUCUGGAUUCAGAAAUGCCUAAGUUCCUGCUUGGAAUGGGUGUAACUUUUUACACAUGUAUUUAUUUUACAAGUGUAAAUUACAGAUGAACACUUGAAACCUGCCUGGAAUCAAAACGACGGGAUGAGCUCCGUAUUUUAUACCGGCCAGAAACGAGGAGAAACGCUAAUCCAAACACGGCCUAAAGCAAGAAUUACAUCGAACUUCAAAUAAGAAACAUGGACUUCCCUUAUUCAAAAUGGAAGUAAUUUCCGACACAAAUAACAACCCUACAAAUUCAAAUAAGAAACACCCAGGAAAAAAAAGGUAAAGGGUGGCAGGCGUCACCGUGCCAAGCAUCCAAAUUCCUAAGUCUAAGUCACACAUAUAUUCGCGAGCGCACGCGCUAUAUAUGUACAUCUCUAUGUGUGCCCAUAGCACAACCUUCUUCUCAUCAUGUGGUUCUAGCAUUUUGUAGACAAAUGAAAGUCACCCUUAUAAGUUGGUCCACCCACCCUUGGCUCACCGAGGUGGGACUAAACUUUUGUUCCAUGUAGAGAUACUACUGGUUCUGUGUAGGCUCAGACAUGGAAUAGGUGGGCUAAAAUACAAAUGAUGCAUACGGGCUUGGGCUUCAUGCCACCAGAUGGGAAGAAUUGUUGCAUGUGAUGGUUUCCAUUAAAAUUGCUCUCGUUUCGUAACAUAAGCUAAACGUGAGACCACCUGAUGUCUACAUCCCCUAAAAGAAGAUAUACAAGCCAAAAAAAGUUAUCAAAAAAAUGACACUAUAAUUUAUUACGGAACUUUUGAGAAUAGAUAGGUCAUUGAUCGAUGCUGAAAAUUUCAUUGGUUAUUUUUUUAACAGUACCUGCUGCUAUUAAGAUAUUAACAUGUUGAAUGGUGCACCCGACCCAUAUAAAUGUCAGUUCCGAUAUUGUACCCUAAGCAUACAAAAAUACUAAUCGAUCCAAUCUAGUACUCCCUCCGUCCUAUAAAAUAAGAGCAUUUUUUUACAUCACCCUAGUGUUAAAAAUGUUCUUAUAUUAUGGGGCAGAGGAAGUAUAUCAGAGGCAUGUGUUCAAACCAAAAAGGCAUCUUCAACAUAUCAAUUCCACUGAAGAUCACAUUUUAAAAAGUCCAUGAAAAUUCUUUAGUGAGGGAGUUCCAGGAUACGCGCGUGCAUGUACCCCAACAAGAAAAUGUAUCUUCAACUUAUCACUUCUUCAUUAUAAACCACCCGAGAGUGCUUAAUUGCGUAGGUAUCCAGGAUCUCGAUGCGCCUGCGAGAAAAUGAAUGGCCAGAUGACAAAAACUGGCAGCAUGUAAAGAUUUAUCAUCUGAGUUGCAUAUUUCCAAGGCACAUCAAUAUGGUCAACAAUGAUCCAGAAAAUUAAGAACUGAUGAUAAACAUUGACAAAAGAAUAUACAUAAAUCAUGGUCAUCCCAAUAUAUAUCAAGGUCUAAGGCAUCUUUACAUGUCACUCUUGCUGAAGAACCCAUGGCAUUGCAAAGCCCUUGGUUGGGGACAACAGACAUAAACAAGGAACCUCCAAAAGUUGGGCAACCACAACUAACCAGCAAAAAAUCGACCAAAGAGAAGCUACCAGGCAACAAACAUCCCAAGCAUACAUGUCAGAUGUAUCAUGACUGAACCAAGCGAAGUAGCUACAGAACUAUAUCAUGGUGCAAUUCAGCAACAACCAACCAACAAGAACAUCACACAUCGCGCAUAGCAUGAUGUCCAUCGUCGUGCGAUUUUGUUUAGUCCAUCUGAGAUUUUGCAAUUUUGUAACCCAGCCAACCAAGGCUCCAGGGGGUAGUUUUCCAGUAACAGUGUCGUCGUCAUCAUGCUCAAUGGCACCAACACCAUUGCCACUCAUCUUAAACACAAAAAAUGCAACACAUCACAAAUACUAGAAUCUAGAACAGCCCCUUGUGAAUCUGUACAUGUAUAGUAGCAUCAAACAAAUGACACAAUAAUUCCUUGUGAGCAACAUUUACAUAUUCUUAAAACUCUGCAUGACAGAAAGCAACAACUUGACAGCAACACCCCUACACAGAAACAGACUCUACAUGCAGAAUUUCUGUUCCGACAUAUUUGGAUUGCAUAUGCUCAAGCUUAGAGUUUCUGCUGAAUCUCUCCCUAACCAUUAAAAUAGUGAUUUGUACUAUAACUUAAGAACGAUCAAGUUAAAAUGUAAAAAGAUUGCUAAAGCCACAUUAUAUCGAAAUAUUAUGGCCUUGUUCAAAACAUCCAGUUGAAGCUAGGAAAAUAAGAAAAGAGAUCACUCGGAUAUCUGGACAUCAUGAUAUGUACUAAAUGUCAAUGGACUGAUCACAACAACCAUUGUAGAUAUGGUGCCUAGUAAUUCAGGGCAUAACAAGAACCCUAUAACUAACACUAAGCAAUGUAUACCAAUAGCACACCAUAUCUUAUUGGCUGCACAAGAAGUGAGAAAUCACAGCACUGCCGAUGCCGUUGGAUCAAGCGAUCUACUACCGAUGCUAUUUUUGGGACUUGCCAGAGAGCCCACCAUCCCCUACUAUCCGGCCUACGCUGUAGGUUUUUCCACAAGGAGGCCUGCUACAAACAGAGGCUAUAUAGUAUGACAACAUUACCUUAACACAAUGAGAGAAAGUUUCCAACUUAUAAAAGUGCCUCAGUAAGCAUGUAUGUCCCGCCUGGUAGCCUAACAGGGUCUGUUGUUUACAUGACACGGUUUGAAUGUGAGGAAAUGUGUAACACUUAUAAAGGAGUAAAAAAAUACUCUUAUAUUUUCUUAGCUGACACCAGGAACCCUAUAACCAACCAUGGCAUGGGCAUAUAGAGGAUCUACCGAGACAACUUUGAGCUAUACAAGCCGAACUAACAGGCAAGAAUAUCAAAGUUUCAAAAGUCACCCAGACAAGAUCUGCCAAUUUGUUACUCCCUCUGUCCCAUAAUAUAAGAACGUUUUCCAAGCUAAAACAGUUUGAAAAACGUUCUUAUAUUAUGGGACGGAGGGAGUAGCAACUUAUGAGACCAAAACGAGUCCAGAGUAAACCGCAUUCAAGCUAAACCAACUGGAAAUUUUGUUCCAAAGCAUAAUUCAGGCCACAUGUGAGAUUUGUUGGGCGAACUUUUUUAAGACAAAAUGCAGCAAAGCAACCAAGACCUCAGCUUAACUUUUUUGUGUUUUCGCCAUGAAGAGAGUUCCCUUUCACUACAACAAUUAUAACUUCAAAACAGAAGCCAAAGCAUUUCAAAGACAAAUGGUGACAUUUCCCAUACUCUUAUCAGCUUAAGAUCAUCAACUUAAUCCAGAAUUAGUUCAUACACAGUAUUAUGAAGCCUUCAUCUACAAUAUCCAGAAUUAGUUCAUACACAAGAAGAUGCUAAUGGUUAAUAUCUUACCAGCCCAUGCCAACCAAGAAGAAGUCUUACCAGCUAGCUAGUGCUGGUGCAUAGUUUUAAUACAAAAAAUGAGAACACAUAAAAUCUGGUGAGGUCACAUAUUUGGAUUGAAGAUGCUCAAGUUGAGAAUUUAUGUUGAGUCUGCCAUUACCAUUAAAACACUAUGUACUAUAACUUACAAGCGUACGAGCUAAAAUGUAAAAAGAAGUUACUAAAUUGAAAGACUAUGGCCUUGUUCAACACAUGCAGUUGAAGAAAGCUGAAAUAAAACAAGAGGUCGCCCGGAUAUCGCGGAUAUCUAGUCACACUUACAACAAUUCCUCAAAGUACGCGAUCUAUUAAAAUGAACUCAUGAUUGUGCAAUUCAAAAUAUACUAUGGCAUGUGAGAGCCCUAAGGCUGACACUGAGACACAUGAUAGUGCAGUGGAUAGCAUUACAAUAGCAGAUGGGCAAAUUCAUUAAUGAUAUCAUCGCAAUCACACGAUUGUGGUGGUUGGAAGACCACCACCACAAACAGCAAGAUCACAUAACCGAGUUCUCCAUUUAGAUCUAUGGUCAGGAUGACAAUCAGCCACAACUCAAUGGCCGCACAAUCUCAGGGUACACAGGAGAGAGGGGGGCCAGGAACUCACCAAAAUCGAGGAAGAGACGUCGACCAGUAUGGUGGAGUUGUCAUCAUGCUGUGGGCAAAUCCGAAGUAGUGGCUGAGGAGGAGGUAGUCCAACGCAGCUGAAGUAGCCGGACAUAGUGGUUACACCAGAGCCAAUGCCAUCCAAUCAGUUUUGACGCCCGGCACGAAGGGGCAUGGCAAUGACCAUUCAGUCACCACCCCACCAAAGGCACACCAUGGUGUGGGGGCCAGGGCCCAGUGGCGCAUGCAGAGGCGCAAAGUGAGUCAUUGAAUCUGAUGGAACCAUUUCACUGAAAACAACACACAAAGCAAAAACUCUGUCACGUUGACAUGAAUAACAGAAGCUGUGCAAGCACACUUGCAUGCUAACCAAGUUAUUUUGCUAAAAUAUAGUUAAUAAAAAGAACAGGAAUGAGUCACGCAUAGUACCCAUGUAGUUUGCAACGCACAGAUACAUGCAUGCUAGCUGGGCAUCAAGAUGCAAAGCACUGUACUGAGACACUAACAUAAGCACAUUAAACAAACCUGUCCACUUAUUGCCAGCAGAAACAAUCAUCCUUCAAUUACUCAGUGGAUUUAUGUAUCUAAGCAACUCAGUCACAUUGUGAAAAAAAAUCCAACCAAAAGUAGAAGAAAUCGCAAAAAAGAGAAAGGGGUGUGAGACAACAAAGCUUCUCCUACAAACCGCACAUAUUAAUCAACUUCUAAAGCUAUUUUCCAAUUGACGUAUCAAAAAGGAAAGGAACAUGUCAUUUUCUGGGAACUCUAAACGGUUAGCCAAAUAAAGAGAUGAUGUUUAAUAUAUAUGAAUGUAAAUGAAAAGAUGAUGUAUAACACAUAAGUCCUACAUGCUCAAAUGUGCUACAUUGUUUGGAUCAACAGAGAGAGGAAACGAUUGUCACCUGAAUAGCAAGCAGACUGGUGCAUGUGGAGGCGAUGCAAACACGGCGGAGGAAGCUCCCUCAUACUAUCCCAGCACAUGGUUGUGGAGGAGGUGGGCUUGGUCUUGGGCGACGAUGUUCACCUCGAGCGCCUUCUAAGAAGGCUCAUCCUUGUGGAGCACGAUGGUGGCAUUCUUCGAUGUGGCAUCAAGUAAGCUCCCGUUGGGAUAAUAUUGAGCUUUUAAUACCCUUGCCAGCAAAGAAUCCGGGUCAGUUAUGAGUCGCCAACUCUGUUUCACGAAUAAAACUAAGUUGAAAGAGUAGAGGUCAUGGAAUCCCAUACCUCCUUCACUCUUCGGAAUACAAAGCAUCCACCAUGCCAUCCACUGCAUCUUCCUAUGUUUUUCAUCAUCACUCCACCUUGAGGAAUAACAUCCAUGAUUUCUUUACAAAUCCCCUUGGGUAUACUAAACACAUAAUUCCUAUACCUAAUAAUUAUUAUUAUUAUAAAAGAUGGUGCGUUUCUCUGGUUUUUUGGUCCGUUCACCCAUUUAACUAUUUUUGAGAUUUUUUUCAUGCAAGGUAGUACUAAAUAUUUUACGCCUCCGUGCUUCCACUUCUACCUCAAUCUUAUGUUUGGUUUGUACGUCACUACACCUUCGAUAGCUGCCUGGGCAUGAGCCCAUCGAACCUAUCAGCUGGCCCGGCUCCGUUGGGGCCUAGCAACCCGGUAGUGUAGGCAAUAAAAUAGGAAACAUUGUGAGGUAUCAAACUCAAGACCUGUAGUCCAGUUCGAAAGGGUACAAACCUGCUGAGCUACUUAUUGUUGUGCGUUAAACAAGAAAUAUGUUCAUGUAAUAAAUAGUACCACCUCACUAACUUAUAAACCACCCAAGCAAUUUAUAUACGUCUAUGAUGUAUUUCAGUAAGCCGCCUCAAGGAUUAAAGUAUAUGAUCAAGAGUUGUCCAUUUGCUUAUAAAAUAUGAGCACAUGAAGGAAAGAAAUUAAAAGAAGACCAAGAAGAAAAUAAAUAAAAGAAGAAAUAAGUGCCUCUAUGGUUGCAUGGGUCGGAUGAGUGAUAGAAAGAAAUUAAUGUGUGUGCGUAGAGAAAGAAAACAAACUAUAGAAACAAAUAAAUAAAUAAAUGUGUUUACAUAGAGAAAGGGGGGAUUAAAAGAAUUGAGGGGAUUAUGAGAGCAUGGUUAAUGAUAUAGCCAAGAGCAGGCUAUAUGGGGUUGUCAUGUCAUUAUAGUCAACGUAUUAUCACACUCAUACAAUAGUUAGUCAUACUAAUAUGCACUACCAUUAAUGCAUGGUACACAUCUUUCUCUCACAAGUGUUGUUGGGGCUUGUGUUACAAGCCAGCUGUAAGCUUGUAACCCGCUUCUCUUCUCUCUCCUCUGCUCUCUCCUCCAACUAGGAACAAAUUUAACGUGGCAGCUCUUAUAGCCCACAUUCUUUAACAUUACAUAAUUUUAAGUGGGCUCAAUGUCCAGGUGUGAAAACUCUAGGUACGACCUUCUUUGGUUAAACCUAGCAACUGUGUCAUUCACGAGAUGUUCCCAUGUUAAAGGCAUUGCAUGUAGUUUACCCAGACUCUAUUCCAUGAUGAACGCCCAUCAUCUUGCGUUAGUGCUUUGGUCUAGCGACAACGUCUCUCAUGCAUCGUUUCCUUUUUUGAGGCGUUGUUGUUGAAGUACCUAUCAUGUAACCUGGGGUUGCCAUCCUUGAAGGUUGUUGUUGUUGUUUGCCGCAGUCGUUCUAUUGGUUGAUUUUUUUGUAGUUAUUUACUUGUGUGAAUCCUCAAUCUCUUGAGUAAUGCUCGAGUUAUAUCGCUGUAGAGGGUGGAUGUAAUUGAUAUCUUCUCGAUAUUCGUAUAUUCCCUUUACAAAAAGAAUUGGACGCUAACACGUGGUCUCACUCAAACAUAGUAACUUUGAUAACUAAGGACAUGUACAGUUGUUCUAUUUUACAGCAUCUCCAACAGAUGCACAAUAAUAGUUAUCGUCCCCGAAAAACUAUCAUUUGGGUUCUUUUGAAGAAAAUCAGCUCCAACAGAUACCUUAUAGGUAUGUGGUGCCUAAAACAUUUAUCAAACACAAGCUUUCACUACAAGUGAGAGCAUUUCCAAAAGAUGGCAAAAAGUUUGGUGCCCCAAAAAUAAUUUUAGGUGAGGAAAGAGAAGGUAUUUGGGCACCAUAAUAUAGUUUUUUUCUUGAUGCCCUAAAAAUUUGGCAUUCUUCGUCUACCACAGAAAUUUGAGCAUAUGCAAUUUUAGAAAAUAAUAUCGAACUCAUUUCAAAUUAAACACAAAUAGUACUUAAUUAUUACGAGUUCAUCAUUCCGCAACCUCAAAGUCAACACAAUUAUUCAAAGAUGACACAAAUUAAGAUCACCACAAAUGACAUGACACAUAGAGUUAGAACUAGUGGCAUUGUUGCCCAUUCCACAUCCAUCACUCCUCGGUGAGAUAUUGUUCAAGAUCUUCAUGAGUAUCCACAUCUCGAAUUUCAUGAUGAACCACAAAGAACGCUUGAAAUUUGUCAUCUCUUCUAUGCGGACGGUGGCGUCGUGUGUAAUAUGGAGCUAUGCAUGUAUGCACAUGUUUGUACUUGGCUCCACCACUAAUAAAAACAUACAAAAUGGAUUAGUUAUCUUAACCUAUAACUAUGCAUUUGUAUGUUUAAGUAGUAUGCAUACUAGUGGUGAAUCCAGCCUGCCUGAGAACGUUUUAGCCCUAUUGUAGAUUUCACCACUUUCCAUUACUCUCUCGUUCUUUAAUACUAUUCUUGUGUACUUUGAUUUCAAGUGACAACCCCUUGCAAUAUUUACACUUCCAUGUCACUUUUGCUUUGAACAACAAUUAAAUCACAUGCACAUUCUGGUAAAGCAUUACGAGAGGCAAAGACCAUUUCCUGUGUGCCAUUUAGGAAAAGGCUACAACUAAAUCAUAUGCAAUUGUAUUGAAAUUAUUGAUCUAUCAUGCUUCACUUAUAUUAUUUUGAGUCUUUUAGAACAGCAUGGUAUUUGCUUUGGUUAUAAAAUUGGUCCUAAUAUGAUGGGCAUCCAAGAUAGGUAUAAUAAAAACUAUCAUAUAGAGUGCAUUAAACACUAUGAUCAAUUUAAUACUUGAUAAUUGUUUUGAGAUAUAAAGAUGGUAAAGUUAGAGUCAUUCUAGUUGGGUAAUUAUGAAAUUGAGAAAUACUUGUGUUAAAGUUGGCAAGUCCUGAUGGAACCAUUUCACUUAAAACAACACACAAAGCAAAAGCUCUGUCAAGUUGACAUGAAUAACAGAAGUUGUGCAAGCACACUUGCAUGCUAACCAAGUUAUUUUGCUAAAAUGUAGUUAAUAAAAAGAACAGGAAUGAGUCACGCAUAGUACCCAUGUAGUUUGCAACGCACAAAUACAUGCAUGCUAGCUGGGCAUCAAGAUGCAAAGCACUAUACUGAGACACUAACAUAAGCACAUAAAACAAACCUGUCCACUUAUUGCGAGCAGAAACAAUCAUUCUUCAAUAUUACUCAGCGGAUUUAUGUAUCUAAGCAACUCAGUCACAUUGUGAAAAAAAAUCCAACCAAAAGUAGAAGAAAUCGCAAAAAAGAGAAAGGGAUGUGAGACAACAAAGUUGCUCCUACAAACCACACAUAUUAAUCAACUUCUAAAGCUAUUUUCCAAUUGACGUAUCAAAAAGGAAAGGAACAUGUCAUUUUCUGGGAACUCUAAACGGUUAGCCAAAUAAAGAGAUGAUGUUUAAUAUAUAUGAAUGUAAAUGAAAAGAUGAUGUAUAACACAUAAAUCCUACAUGCUCAAAUGUUCUACAUUGUUUGGAUCAACAGAGAGAGGAAACGAUUGUCACCUGAACAGCAAGCAGACUGGUGCAUGUGGAGGCAAUGCAAACACGGCGGAGGAAGCUCCCUCAUCCUAUCCCAGCACAUGGUUGUGGAGGAGGUGGGCUUGGUCUUGGGCAACGAUGUUCACCUCGAGAGCCUUCUAAGAAGGCUCGUCCUUGUGGACCAGCCUGUGCACGCCAGCCACACGACCACCCUAGACGAUGAAUAGAACUCACGAUGAACACCAGCAAAUAAGAGAAGAAGAAUAUAUACGGGCCAAAAGACAAGUGUUUGUUCGUCGGUUAAUUUAUUUUAUUAAUGUAUACUAUCUAGUCUAGUAAAUUGCAUAUAAUUUAAUGAAAGCUAAGAUAGCAAAGCACUUUUCUCCUCACUGGUACAAGAAUUUUCGUUUUACUUUCUUUUUUGCCACCGACUAUUGUACAUGAGGAUCAAUCAACCAACCAAACAAACCGUAUACAUCCCUUGGACACGAACCGUAUACAUCCCACCUUCUCUCCGGCGACCUUUCCAGACUUCUCGAUCUCUUCUUCUCCCCGGCCUUCUUCUACUUCCUCUGCGAUUUCGCCGUCAUGGAAGGGUACGACAUGGUCUUCGUGCUCUCCGUCGCCUCCUUCUACCGCAACAAGGGCGCCGGCCGGGCGGAGCCCAUGGCCAUCCCACGUCUCCUUAAUUAGACGCAUCAAUCGCGCCUCCGGCACUUCAUGCGCCACAUUCUUGCUGGCUGUCACCGCCUUCGGAGGUUACACCGCCGACUUCGGGUCCGCCUGGCGGACACUCCGCCUGCUCGAUGCUCCGGGUGAGAUCCUCCUGCCGUUGCGACUCCUGGGCGGGGCAGCGUGCAUCGCCAGGGCGGUGUACCUCGCCCUGCUGUUCCGCCUGGCCUGCGUGGUGUCGCUGCUCGAGAACGCCCAUGGGUUCGGCGCCUUGUGCAGGAGCCGCGAGCUCCUCGCCGGAAAGUUCUGGGCGGCGGCCACCGUCUUCGCUGUGCUUGAUGGUUGCUUCCUAGCUGUGCUGAUGGCCUUCCCGCACUAGUAGAAAACAGGGCAUACGUUCGAGCCAGAUAAGCCCAUUAGUCCCGGUUCAGUCACGAACCGGGACCCAUGGGGCAUUAGUCCCGGUUUGUGUCUCAAACCGGGACUAAAGGCAUUAGUCCCCUGUUCAAAUGAGCCCUUUAGUCAAACUCUACCCCCUGUGGAUCGCGUUUUUAGUUUUGUAAAAAGCAAAAAAAAUGAUAAAAACUUCAAAAAUUAAAAUCCUUCGAGAUGUAGUUAUGUUACUACAUCUACUAGUUAGGAAAAUUAAAAAACUUAAAUUUGAACAUGUUUNNNNNNNNNNNNNNNNNNNNNNNNNNNNNNNNNNNNNNNNNNNNNNNNNNNNNNNNNNNNNNNNNNNNNNNNNNNNNNNNNNNNNNNNNNNNNNNNNNNNNNNNNNNNNNNNNNNNNNNNNNNNNNNNNNNNNNNNNNNNNNNNNNNNNNNNNNNNNNNNNNNNNNNNNNNNNNNNNNNNNNNNNNNNNNNNNNNNNNNNNNNNNNNNNNNNNNNNNNNNNNNNNNNNNNNNNNNNNNNNNNNNNNNNNNNNNNNNNNNNNNNNNNNNNNNNNNNNNNNNNNNNNNNNNNNNNNNNNNNNNNNNNNNNNNNNNNNNNNNNNNNNNNNNNNNNNNNNNNNNNNNNNNNNNNNNNNNNNNNNNNNNNNNNNNNNNNNNNNNNNNNNNNNNNNNNNNNNNNNNNNNNNNNNNNNNNNNNNNNNNNNNNNNNNNNNNNNNNNNNNNNNNNNNNNNNNNNNNNNNNNNNNNNNNNNNNNNNNNNNNNNNNNNNNNNNNNNNNNNNNNNNNNNNNNNNNNNNNNNAGGAGCCGCGAGCUCCUCGCCGGAAAGUUCUGGGCGGCGGCCACCGUCUUCGCUGUGCUUGAUGGUUGCUUCCUAGCUGUGCUGAUGGCCUUCCCGCACUAGUAGAAAACAGGGCAUACGUUCGAGCCAGAUAAGCCCAUUAGUCCCGGUUCAGUCACGAACCGGGACCCAUGGGGCAUUAGUCCCCUGUUCAAAUGAGCCCUUUAGUCAAACUCUACCCCCUGUGGAUCGCGUUUUUAGUUUUGUAAAAAGCAAAAAAAAUGAUAAAAACUUCAAAAAUUAAAAUCCUUCGAGAUGUAGUUAUGUUACUACAUCUACUAGUUAGGAAAAUUAAAAAACUUAAAUUUGAACAUGUUUUGCAAAAAAAAUGUUAUGAAAAUGUAAAACGGUCAUAUCUUUUGCAUGUGAUAUCAAAAAACCCGCAUAAUAUAUCAAAAAAAUCAGCACAAAAAUUCGCAUCCGAUUUUGACCGCCUACUGCUUGUUUGCAAUUUUUUAAAAGGAAAAAAAGUUAUGCCUAAUUUUUUUUUUUGAGUUUUCGUUAAAUCUGGUCAAACUAUGGUCAAACUACUUAUUAAAGAAGUAUUAGCAUCACUACAUAAUUAUUCAAGAAUAUUAGUGUUACUAAAUAAUUAUUUUAGUUUUUUUUAAUUUGGACAAAUCUGGUCAAAUUGUCCUCAAACUAUAGUCAAACUAUGGUCAAACUUAUUAUUCAAAAAAUAUUAGUGUUACUAAAUAAUUAUUGUUUUUGAGAAUAAUAGUUUCAAACUCAAACAGUGAAACAUGUGACUUAAUGCUCAAGCUAAACUCCUGAGGGUUAAUAGGGUUGACAUCUUACUAUUGUCAGAAAAAUAACAAGUGCAGACUUGAAAACGAGGGGAAAUAAAACCCGGAGGUUAAGCGUGCUCAGGCUGGAGUAGUGAGACGAUGGGUGACUGGCCAGGAAGUUAGAUGAUUUGGAAUGAUGAGGAUGAUUAGAGAUUAGAGGUUAAAUUGAGCAGUGAUGAGGGGGAUGAUGGAUGCUUAGAGAUUAAAUGUAAAAUGAUUCAGAAAUUUGAAAAUCCUAGAAAAAAAUAAAAAAAAUCGUAAAAAUACCUUUAGUCCCGGGACUAAAGAUGGAGCUCCAGACAGCGGCCACGUGGAGGGCCUUUAGUCCCGGUUCGUAUAAGAACCGGGACUAAAGAGGAAUGCCUUUAGUAACGACCCUUUAGUCCCGGUUCCAGAACCGAGACUAAAGACCUUCACGAACCGGUACGAAUGGGGCUUUUUCUACUAGUGCCGAAGGUGACAGCGGAGGACGCCCUGGGCGGCAUGGGGACGCUGGUGGCGCAGCCCGUGGUCUACCUAUUGUGUGCAAGAAGUACCACCAAAACCCAAGAACACUACUAGAGGUUUGAUCGGCAACAAUGGUGGCGUGAAGCAAAGCCUGGCGUGGAGCCGUGGAGCUGCAUUCUUGCAAAGCCUGGUAGUAAUGCUAAUUAACUUGUCUUUCUACUAGCCAAUUAAGUUUUUCUUCCGCAAAACUAGACAAUUCAGUAAGUUGCCGCCGGCACCUACAGUACUACUGUAUUUGGAUUGCUAGUUGUGGAACUCUGCGUUUUUAUGCUUGGAUAUAUUUGGUUUGCUAUUGGGUAUGUGCGUGAGUUAAUCUGUAGUACUACUGCAAUUCUUGAGAGUAUCAACUGUUACAGAUUAUGUGCAUUGGGAGGAGCUUUUUUUUUUUGAAGAUUGCAUUGGGAGGAGCUGUAUAAGCGUGGGGGAGUAUUUAUGCCAUUGUUUUCCUUUUGAGUUUGUACAUUUGCCAGUAAAAAAAAGGUCAUGCACUGGAAU
rnacentral:lncRNA from 1 species